GGGGGCGCGCCCUACAGGGGGGCCUGUUGGGGAACGUUGCAAAAAACAAAAAUUUUCCUACUCGUUUCACCAAGAUCAUCUAGGAGUUCAUCUAGCAACGAGUGAUUAGAUGCAUCUACAUACCUUUGUAGAUCGCGCACGGAAGCGUUCAAAAGAACGGUGAUGAUGUAGUCGUACUCGACGUGAUCCAAAUCACCGAUGACCAGCGCCGAACGGACGGCACCUCCGCGUUCAACACACGUACGGGACGGGAGACGUCUCCUCCUUCUUGAUCCAGCAAGGGGGAAGGAGAGGUUGAUGAAGAUCCAGCAGCACGACGGCGUGGUGGUGGAUGCAAGGCGUCACAGCAGCAGGGCUUCGCCGAGACUACGAGGGAGAGACGUAACGGGGGGAGAUGGAGGCGCCAGGGGCUGGUGUAAAAUCCCUCCUCUCCCCCCCACUAUAUAUAGGGGUGCCAAAGGGGGGGGGCGCCGGCCCUAGUAGAUGAGAUCUACUAGGGGGGCGGCGGCCAAGGGGAGGUUUCCCUCCCCCCCAAGGCACCUAGGGGUGCCUUCCACCACUAGGACUCCUCCUAGGGGAAAACCCUAGGCGCAUGGGCCUAUAGGGGCUGGUGCCCUUGGCCCAUCUAGGCCAAGGAGCACCCCCAUAGCCCAUGUGGCCCCCCGGGACAGGUGGCCCCACCCGGUGGACCCCCGGGACCCUUCCGGUGGUCCCGGUACAAUACCGAUAACCCCGAAACUUGUCCCGAUGCCCGAAAUAGCACUUCCUAUAUAUAAUUCUUUACCUCCGGACCAUUCCGGAACUCCUCGUGACGUCCGGGAUCUCAUCCGGGACUCCGAACAACAUUCGGGUUUCUGCAUAUACAUAUCUUCAUAACCCUAGCGUCAUCGAACCUUAAGUGUGUAGACCCUACGGGUUCAGGAGACAAGCAGACAUGACCGAGACGACUCUCCGGUCAAUAACCAACAGCGGGAUCUAGAUACCCAUGUUGGCUCCCACAUGCUCCACGAUGAUCUCAUCGGAUGAACCACAAUGUCGAGGAUUUAAUCAAUCCCGUACGCUAUUCCCUUUGUCUAUCGAUAUGUUACUUGCCCGAGAUUCGAUCGUCGGUAUCCCAAUACCUCGUUCAAUCUCGUUACCGGCAAGUCACUUUACUCGUACCGUAAUGCAUGAUCCCGUGACCAGACACUUGGUCACUCUGAGCUCAUUAUGAUGAUGCAUUACCGAGUGGGCCCAGUGAUACCUCUCCGUCAUACGGAGUGACAAAUCCCAGUCUUGAUCCAUGUCACCCAACAGACACUUUCAGAGAUACCCGUAGUCUACCUUUAUAGUCACCCAGUUACGUUGUGACGUUUGGCACACCCAAAGCACUCCUACGGUAUCCGGGAGUUACACGAUCUCAUGGUCUAAGGAAAAGAUACUUUGACAUUGGAAAACUCUAGCAAACAAACUAUACGAUCUUGUGCUAUGUUUAGGAUUGGGUCUUGUCCAUCACAUCAUUCUCCUAAUGAUGUGAUCUCGUUAUCAAUGACAUCCAGUGUCCAUAGUCAGGAAACCAUGACUAUCUGUUGAUCAACGAGCUAGUCAACUAGAGGCUCACUAGGGACAUGUUGGUGUCUGUUAUUCACACAUGUAUUACGAUUUUCGGAUAACACAAUUAUAGCAUGAAUAAAGACAAUUAUCAUGAACAAGGAAAUAUAAUAAUAAUGCUUUUAUUAUUGCCUCUAGGGCAUAUUUCCAACAGUCUCCCACUUGCACUAGAGUCAAUAAUCUAGUUACAUUGUGAUGAAUCGAACACCCAUGGAAUUCUGGUGUUGAUCAUGUUUUGCUCUAGGGAGAGGUUUAGUCAACGGAUCUGCUACAUUCAGGUCCGUAUGUACUUUACAAAUCUCUAUGUCUCCAUCUUGAACAUUUUCACGAAUGGAGUUGAAGCGGCGCUUGAUGUGCCUUGUCUUCUUGUGAAACCUGGGCUCCUUGGCAAGUGCAAUAGCUCCAGUGUUGUCACAGAAGAGCUUGAUCGGCCCCGACGCAUUGGGUAUGACUCCUAGGUCGGUGAUGAACUCCUUCACCCAUAUUGCUUCAUGUGCUGCCUCCGAGGCUGCCAUGUACUCCGCUUCACAUGUAGAUCCCGCCACGACGCUUUGCUUGCAACUGCACCAGCUUACUGCCCCACCAUUCAAAAUAUACACGUAUCCGGUUUGUGACUUAGAGUCAUCCAGAUCUGUGUCGAAGCUAGCGUCGACGUAACCCUUUACGACGAGCUCUUCAUCACCUCCAUAAACGAGAAACAUUUCCUUAGUCCUUUUCAGGUACUUCAGGAUAUUCUUGACCGCUGUCCAGUGUUCCUUGCCGGGAUUACUUUGGUACCUUCCUACCAAACUGACGGCAAGGUUUACAUCAGGUCUGGUACACAGCAUGGCAUACAUAAUAGAACCUAUGGCUGAGGCAUAGGGGAUGACGCUCAUCUCUUCUAUAUCUUCUGCCGUGGUCGGACAUUGAGCUGAGCUCAAUUUCAUACCUUGCAACACAGGCAAGAACCCCUUCUUGGAUUGAUCCAUAUUGAACUUCUUCAAUAUCUUAUCAAGGUAUGUGCUUUGUGAAAGACCUAUGAGGCGUCUCGAUCUAUCUCUAUAGAUUUUGAUGCCUAAUAUAUAAGCAGCUUCUCCAAGGUCCUUCAUUGAAAAACUUUUAUUCAAGUAGGCCUUGAUGCUGUCCAAGAGUUCUAUAUCAUUUCCCAUCAACAGUAUGUCAUCUACAUAUAAUAUGAGAAAUGCUACAGAGCUCCCACUCACUUUCUUGUAAACGCAGGCUUCUCCAUAAGUCUGUGUAAACCCAAACGCUUUGAUCAUCUCAACAAAGCGAAUGUUCCAACUCCGAGAUGCUUGCACCAGCCCAUAAAUCGAGCGUUGGAGCUUGCACACUUUGUCAGCAUUCUUAGGAUCGACAAAACCUUCCGGCUGCAUCAUAUACAAUUCUUCCUUAAGGAAACCAUUAAGGAAUGCCGUUUUGACGUCCAUUUGCCAUAUUUCGUAAUCAUAGAAUGCGGCAAUUGCUAACAUGAUUCGGACGGACUUCAGCUUCGCUACCGGUGAGAAAGUCUCAUCGUAGUCAACCCCUUGAACUUGUCAAUAACCCUUAGCGACAAGCCGAGCUUUAUAGAUGGUCACAUUACCAUCCGCGUCUGUCUUCCUCUUAAAGAUCCAUUUAUUUUCUAUGGCUCGCCGCUCAACGGGCAAGUCAGUCAAAGUCCAUACUUUGUUUUCAUACAUGGAUCCUAUCUCGGAUUUCAUGGCUUCCAGCCAUUUGCCAGAAUCCGGACCCGCCAUCGCUUCUUCAUAGUUCGAAGGUUCACCAUUGUCUAACAGCAUGAUUUCCAAGACAGGGUUGCCGUACCACUCUGGUGCGGAACGUGUCCUUGUGGACCUUCGAAUUUCAGUAGGGGCUUGAUCAGAAGUAUCUUGAUCAUUUUCAUUAACUUCCUCUCUAGUCGGUGCAGGCACCUCAGGAACAUUUUCUUGAGUUGCGCCAUUUUCCGGUUCAAGAGGUAAUACUUCAUCAAGCUCUACUUUCCUCCCACUUACUUCUUUCGAGAGAAACUCUUUCUCCAGAAAGGACCCAUUCUUGGCAACAAAGAUCUUGCCUUCGGAUCUGAGGUAGAAGGUGUACCCAAUAGUUUCUUUUGGGUAUCCUAUGAAGACGCAUUUUUCCGACUUGGGUUCGAGCUUUUCAGGUUGAAGUUUCUUGACAUAAGCAUCGCAUCCCCAAACUUUUAGAAACGUCAGCUUAGGUUUCUUCCCAAACCAUAAUUCAUACGGUGUCGUCUCAACGGAUUUCGACGGAGCCCUAUUUAAAGUGAAUGCGGCAGUCUCUAAAGCAUAGCCCCAAAAAGAAAGCGGUAAAUCGGUAAGAGACAUCAUAGAUCGCACCAUAUCUACCAAAGUGCGAUUACGACGUUCGGACACACCAUUACGCUGAGGUGUUCCAGGCGGCGUGAGUUGUGAAACUAUUCCACAUUUUCUUAAGUGUGCCCCAAACUCGUGACUCAAGUAUUCUCCUCCACGAUCUGAUCGCAGAAACUUGAUUUUCCUGUCACGUUGAUUUUCAACCUCACUCUGAAAUUCCUUGAACUUUUCAAAGGUUUCAGACUUGUGUUUCAUUAAGUAGAUAUACCCAUACCUACUUAAAUCAUCAGUGAGAGUGAGAACAUAACGAUAGCCACCGCGAGCCUCAACACUCAUCGGACCGCACACAUCAGUAUGUAUGAUUUCCAAUAAGUCGGUUGCUCGCUCCAUUGUUCCUGAGAACGGAGUCUUGGUCAUUUUACCCAUAAGGCAUGGUUCGCACGUGUCAAAUGAUUCAUAAUCAAGAGACUCUAAAAGUCCAUCAGCAUGGAGCUUCUUCAUGCGUUUGACACCUAUGUGACCAAGGCGGCAGUGCCACAGGUAUGUGGGACUAUCAUUAUCAACUUUACUUCUUUUGGUACUCACAUUAUGAAUAUGUGUAGCAUCACGUUCGAGAUUCAUAAGGAAUAAACCAUUCACCAUAGGAGCAUGACCAUAAAACAUAUCUCUCAUAAAAAUGGAACAACCAUUAUUCUCAGAUUUAAAAGAGUAGCCAUCUCGAAUUAAACGAGAUCCUGAUACAAUGUUCAUGCUCAAAGCUGGCACUAAAUAACAAUUAUUAAGGUUUAAAACUAAUCCCGAAGGGAGAUGCAGAGGCAGCGUGCCGACGGCGAUCACAUUGACCUUGGAACCAUUCCCGACGCGCAUCGUCACCUCGUCCUUUGCCAGUUUCCGCUUAUUCCGCAGCCCCUGCUUUGAGUUACAAAUGUGAGCAACUGCACCGGUAUCAAAUACCCAGGAGCUACUACGGGCACUAGUAAGGUACACAUCAAUUACAUGUAUAUCACAUAUACCUUUUGUUUUGCCGGCCUUCUUAUCCGCUAAGUACUUAGGGCAGUUCCGCUUCCAGUGACCGCUUCCCUUGCAAUAAAAGCACUCAGUCUCGGUCUUGGGUCCAUUCUUUGGCUUCUUCCCGGCAGCUUGCUUGCCGGGCGCGGCAACCUCCUUGCCGUCCUUCUUGAAGUUCUUUUUACCCUUGCCUUUCUUGAACUUAGUGGUUUUAUUGACCAUCAACACUUGAUGUUCCUUCCUGACUUCUACCUCUGCUGAUUUCAGCAUAGCAAAUACUUCAGGAAUGGUCUUUUCCAUCCCCUGCAUAUUGAAGUUCAUCACAAAGCUCUUGUAGCUUGGUGGAAGCGACUGGAGGAUUCUGUCAAUGACCGCAUCAUCCGGGAGAUUAACUCCCAGCUGAGUCAAGCGGUUAUGCAACCCAGACAUAGUGAGUAUGUGCUCACUGACAGAACUGUUUUCCUCCAUCUUACAGCUGAAGAAUUUGUCAGAGACUUCAUAUCUCUCGACCCGGACAUGAGCUUGGAAAACCAUUUUCAGCUCUUCGAACAUCUCAUAUGCUCCAUGUCUCUCAAAAUGCUUUUGGAGCCCCGGCUCUAGGCUGUAAAGCAUGCCGCACUGAACGAGGGAGUAGUCAUCGAAACGUGCCUGCCAAGCGUUCAUAACAUCUUGUUCUGCAGGGAGAACGGGUGCGUCACCAAGCGGUGCUUGUAGGACAUAAUCUUUCUUGGCAGCUAUGAGGAUGAUCCUCAGGUUCCGGACCCAGUCCGUAUAGUUGCUGCCAUCAUCUUUCAGCUUAGUUUUCUCUAGGAACGCGUUGAAGUUGAGGACUACGUUGGCCAUUUGAUCUACAAGACAUAUUGCAAAGAUUUUAGACUAAGUUCAUGAUAAUUAAGUUCAACUAAUCAAAUUAUUAGUGAACUCCCACUUAGAUUAGACAUCCCUCUAGUCAUCUAAGUAUUGCAUGAUCCGAGUUAAACUAGACCGUGUCCGAUCAUCACGUGAGACGGACUAGUCAACAUCGGUGAACAUCUUCAUGUUGAUCGUAUCUUCUAUAUGACUCAUGCUCGACCUUUCGGUCUUCUGUGUUCCGAGGCCAUGUAUGUACAUGCUAGGCUCGUCAAGUCAACCUAAGUGUUUGCAUGUGUAAAUCUGUCUUACACCCGUUGUAUGUGAACGUCUGAAUAAAACACCCGAUCAUCACGUGGUGUUUUGAAACAGCGAACUGACGCAACGGUGCACAGUUAGGGGGAACACUUCUUGAAUUUAUUGUGAGGGAUCAUCUUAUUUACUACCGUCGUUCUAAGUAAACAAGAUGCAAAACAUGAUAAACAUCACAUGCAAUCAAAUAAUAAACGUGACAUGAUAUGGCCAAUAUCACAUAGCUCCUUUGAUCUCCAUCUUGGGGCUCCAUGAUCAUCUUGUCACCGGCUUGACACCAUGAUCUCCAUCAUCAUGAUCUCCAUCAUCGUGUCUCCAUGAAGUUGCUCGCCAACUAUUACUUCUACUACUAUGGCUAACGCGUUUAGCAAUAAAGUAAAGUAAUUUACAUGGCGUUUCUUGAUGACACGCAGGUCAUAUAAAAGAAUAAAGACAACUCCUAUGGCUCCUGCCGGUUGUCAUACUCAUCGACAUGCAAGUCGUAAUUCCUAUUACAAUAGCAUGAACAUCUCAUACAUCACAUAUAGAUCAUUCAUCAUUCAUCACAACUUUGGCCAUAUCAUAUCACAAACCACUUGCUGCAAAAACAAGUUAGACGUCCUCUAAUUGUUGUUGCAAGUUUUACGUGGCUGAAUUAGGGUUCUAGCAAGAACGUUUUCUUACCUACGUUAAAGCCACAACGUGAUUUGUCAACUUCUAUUUACCCUUCAUAAGGACCCUGUUCAUCGAUUCCGCUCCAACUAAAGUAGGAGAGACAGACACCCGCCAGCCACCUUAUGCAACUAGUGCAUGUUAGUCGGUGGAACCGGUCUCACGUAAGCGUACGUGUAAGGUUGGUCCGGGCCGCUUCAUCCCACAAUACCGCUGAAGCAAGAAAGGACUAGUAACGGCAAGAAAGUUGACAAAUCUACGCCCACAACAAAUUGUGUUCUACUCGCGCAAGAAGAACUACGCAUAGACCUAGCUCAUGAUGCCACUGUUGGGGAACGUUGCAGAAAACAAAAAUUUUCCUACUCGUUUCACCAAGAUCAUCUAGGAGUUCAUCUAGCAACGAGUGAUUAGAUGCAUCUACACACCUUUGUAGAUCGCGAGCGGAAGCGUUCAAAAGAACGGUGAUGAUGUAGUCGUACUCGACGUGAUCCAAAUCACCGAUGACCAGCGCCGAACGGACGGCACCUCCGCGUUCAACACACGUACGGAACAGCCACGUCUCCUCCUUCUUGAUCCAGCAAGGGAGGGAGGAGAGGUUGAGGGAGAUGGCACCAGCAGCAGCACGACGGCGUGGUGUUGAUGGAGCUGCAGUACUCCGGCAGAGCUUCGCUAAGCACUAUGGAGGUUGAGGAGGUAUUGGGGAGGGAGAAGGAGGCAACCAAAGGCCGAGGCGUUCAGGUAUGAAGUCCCUCCUCUCCCCCACUAUAUAUAGGGGUGCCAAGGGGGGGUGGCCGGCCCUAGGAGAUCCAAUCUCCUAGGGGGUGCGGCGGCCUAGGGGGGGUUUUCCUCCCCCCCAAGGCACCUAGGAGGUGCCUUACCCUCCUAGGACUCUUCCCCUUCUAAACCCUAGGCGCAUGGGCCUAUGUGGGGCUGGUGCCCUUGGCCCAUUAGGCCAAGGCGCACCCCCUUACAGCCCAUGUGCCCCCCCGGGACAGGUGGACCCACCCGGUGGACCCCCGGGACCCUUCCGGUGGUCCCGGUACAAUACCGAUAACCCCGAAACUUGUCCCGAUGCCCGAAACAAGACUUCCCAUAUAUAAAUCUUUACCUCCGGACCAUUCUGGAACUCCUCGUGACGUCCGGGAUCUCAUCCGGGACUCCGAACAACAUUCGGGUUACUGCAUAUACAUAUCCCUACAACCCUAGCGUAACUGAACCUUAAGUGUGUAGACCCUACGGGUUCGAGAGACAAGCAGACAUGACCGAGACGACUCUCCGGUCAAUAACCAACAGCGGGAUCUGGAUACCCAUGUUGGCUCCCACAUGCUCCACGAUGAUCUCAUUGGAUGAACCACGAUGUCGAGGAUUCAAUCAACCCCGUACGCUAUUCCCUUUGUCUAUCGAUAUGUUACUUGCCCGAGAUUCGAUCGUCGGUAUCCCAAUACCUCGUUCAAUCUUGUUACCGGCAAGUCACUUUACUCGUACCGUAAUGCAUGAUCCCGUGACCAAACACUUGGUCACUCUGAGCUCAUUAUGAUGAUGCAUUACCGAGUGGGCCCAGUGAUACCUCUCCGUCAUACGGAGUGACAAAUCCCAGUCUUGAUCCAUGUCACCCAACAGACACUUUCGGAGAUACCCGUAGUCUACCUUUAUAGUCACCCAGUUACGUUGUGACGUUUGGCAUACCCAAAGCACUCCUACGGUAUCCGGGAGUUACACGAUCUCAUGGUCUAAGGAAAAGAUACUUUGACAUUGCAAAACUCUAGCAAACGAACUAUACGAUCUUGUGCUAUGUUUAGGAUUGGGUCUCGUCCAUCACAUCAUUCUCCCAAUGAUGUGAUCUCGUUAUCAAUGACAUCCAGUGUCCAUAGUCAGGAAACCAUGACUAUCUGUUGAUCAACGAGCUAGUCAACUAGAGGCUCACUAGGGACAUGUUGGUGUCUGUUAUUCACACAUGCAUUACGAUUUCCGGAUAACACAAUUAUAGCAUGAAUAAAGACAAUUAUCAUGAACAAGGAAAUAUAAUAAUAAUGCUUUUAUUAUUGCCUCUAGGGCAUAUUUCCAACAGCUUUGAGUUACAAAUGUGAGCAACUGCACCGGUAUCAAAUACCCAGGAGCCACUACGGGCACUAGUAAGGUACACAUCAAUUACAUGUAUAUCACAUAUACCUUUUGUUUUGCCGGCCUUCUUAUCCGCUAAGUACUUAGGGCAGUUCCGCUUCCAGUGACCGCUCCCUUGCAAUAAAAGCACUCAGUCUCGGGCUUGGGUCCAUUCUUUGGCUUCUUCCCGGCAGCUUGCUUGCCGAGCGCGGCAACCUCCUUGCCGUCCUUCUUGAAGUUCUUUUUACCCUUGCCUUUCUUGAACUUAGUGGUUUUAUUGACCAUCAACACUUGAUGUUCCUUCCUGACUUCUACCUCUGCUGAUUUUAGCAUAGCAAAUACUUCAGGAAUGGUCUUUUCCAUCCCCUGCAUAUUGAAGUUCAUCACAAAGCUCUUGUAGCUUGGUGGAAGCGACUGGAGGAUUCUGUCAAUGACCGCAUCAUCCGGGAGAUUAACUCCCAGCUGAGUCAAGCGGUUAUGCAACCCAGACAUAGUGAGUAUGUGCUCACUGACAGAAUUGUUUUCCUCCAUCUUACAGCUGAAGAAUUUGUCGGAGACUUCAUAUCUCUCGACCCGGGCAUGAGCUUGGAAAACCAUUUUCAGCUCUUCGAACAUCUCAUAUGCUCCAUGUCUCUCAAAACGCUUUUGGAGCCCCGGCUCUAGGCUGUAAAGCAUGCCGCACUGAACGAGGGAGUAGUCAUCGAAACGUGCCUGCCAAGCGUUCAUAACAUCUUGUUCUGCGGGGAGAACGGGUGCGUCACCAAGCGGUGCUUGUAGGACAUAAUCUUUCUUGGCAGCUAUGAGGAUGAUCCUCAGGUUCCGGACCCAGUCCGUAUAGUUGCUGCCAUCGUCUUUCAGCUUAGUUUUCUCUAGGAACGCGUUGAAGUUGAGGACUAUGUUGGCCAUUUGAUCUACAAGACAUAUUGUAAAAUAUUUAGACUAAGUUCAUGAUAAUUAAGUUCAACUAAUCAAAUUAUUAGUGAACUCCCACUUAGAUUAGACAUCCCUCUAGUCAUCUAAGUAUUACAUGAUCCGAGUUAAACUAGACCAUUUCCGAUCAUCACGUGAGACGGACUAGUCAACAUCGGUGAACAUCUUCAUGUUGAUCGUAUCUUCUAUACGACUCAUGCUCGACCUUUCGGUCUUCUGUGUUCCGAGGCCAUGUCUGUACAUGCUAGGCUCGUCAAGUCAACCUAAGUGUUUGCAUGUGUAAAUCUGUCUUACACCCGUUGUAUGUGAACGUCUGAAUAAAACACCCGAUCAUCACGUGGUGUUUUGAAACAGCGAACUGUCGCAACGGUGCACAGUUAGGGGGGACACUUCUUGAAUUUAUUGUGAGGGAUCAUCUUAUUUACUACCGUCGUUCUAAGUAAACAAGAUGCAAAACAUGAUAAACAUCACAUGCAAUCAAAUAAUAAACGUGACAUGAUAUGGCCAAUAUCACAUAGCUCCUUUGAUCUCCAUCUUGGGGCUCCAUGAUCAUCUUGUCACCGGCUUGACACCAUGAUCUCCAUCAUCAUGAUCUCCAUCAUCGUGUCUCCAUGAAGUUGCUCGCCAACUAUUACUUCUACUACUAUGGCUAACGCGUUUAGCAAUAAAGUAAAGUAAUUUACAUGGCGUUUCUUGAUGACACGCAGGUCAUAUAAAAGAAUAAAGACAACUCCUAUGGCUCCUGCCGGUUGUCAUACUCAUCGACAUGCAAGUCAUGAUUCCUAUUACAAUAGCAUGAACAUCUCAUACAUCACAUAUAGAUCAUUCAUCAUUCAUCACAACUUUGGCCAUAUCAUAUCACAAACCACUUGCUGCAAAAACAAGUUAGACGUCCUCUAAUUGUUGUUGCAAGUUUCACGUGGCUGAAUUAGGGUUCUAGCAAGAACGUUUUCUUACCUACGUUAAAGCCACAACGUGAUUUGUCAACUUCUAUUUACCCUUCAUAAGGACCCUGUUCAUCGAUUCCGCUCCAACUAAAGUAGGAGAGACAGACACCCGCCAGCCACCUUAUGCAACUAGUGCAUGUUAGUCGGUGGAACCGGUCUCACGUAAGCGUACGUGUAAGGUUGGUCCGGGCCGCUUCAUCCCACAAUACCGCUGAAGCAAGAAAGGACUAGUAACGGCAAGAAAGUUGACAAAUCUACGCCCACAACAAAUUGUGUUCUACUCGCGCAAGAAGAACUACGCAUAGACCUAGCUCAUGAUGCCACUGUUGGGGAACGUUGCAGAAAACAAAAAUUUUCCUACUCGUUUCACCAAGAUCAUCUAGGAGUUCAUCUAGCAACGAGUGAUUAGAUGCAUCUACAUACCUUUGUAGAUCGCGCACGGAAGCGUUCAAAAGAACGGUGAUGAUGUAGUCGUACUCGACGUGAUCCAAAUCACCGAUGACCAGCGUCGAACGGACGGCACCUCCGCGUUCAACACACGUACGGGACGGGAGACGUCUCCUCCUUCUUGAUCCAGCAAGGGGGAAGGAGAGGUUGAUGAAGAUCCAGCAGCACGACGGCGUGGUGGUGGAUGCAGGGCGUCACAGCAGCAGGGCUUCGCCGAGACUACGAGGGAGAGACGUAACGGGGGGAGAUGGAGGCGCCAGGGGCUGGUGUAAAAUCCCUCCUCUCCCCCCACUAUAUAUAGGGGUGCCAAAGGGGGGGGGCAGCCCUAGUAGAUGAGAUCUACUAGGGGGGGCGACGGCCAAGGGGAGGUUUCCCUCCCCCCCCCAAGGCACCUAGGGGUGCCUUCCACCACUAGGACUCCUCCUAGGGGAAAACCCUAGGCGCAUGGGCCUAUAGGGGCUGGUGCCCUUGGCCCAUCUAGGCCAAGGAGCACCCCCUACAGCCCAUGUGGCCCCCCGGGACAGGUGGCCCCACCCGGUGGACCCCCGGGACCCUUCCGGUGGUCCCGGUACAAUACCGAUAACCCCGAAACUUGUCCCGAUGCCCGAAAUAGCACUUCCUAUAUAUAAUUCUUUACCUCCGGACCAUUCCGGAACUCCUCAUGACGUCCGGGAUCUCAUCCGGGACUCCGAACAACAUUCGGGUUUCUGCAUAUACAUAUCUUCAUAACCCUAGCAUCACCGAACCUUAAGUGUGUAGACCCUACGGGUUCGGGAGACAAGUAGACAUGACCGAGACGACUCUCCGAUCAAUAACCAACAGCGGGAUCUGGAUACCCAUGUUGGCUCCCACAUGCUCCACGAUGAUCUCAUCGGAUGAACCACAAUGUCGAGGAUUUAAUCAAUCCCGUACGCUAUUCCCUUUGUCUAUCGAUAUGUUACUUGCCCGUUCAAUCUCGUUACCGGCAAGUCACUUUACUCGUACCGUAAUGCAUGAUCCCGUGACCAGACACUUGGUCACUCUGAGCUCAUUAUGAUGAUGCAUUACCGAGUGGGCCCAGUGAUACCUCUCCAUCAUACGGAGUGACAAAUCCCAGUCUUGAUCCAUGUCACCCAACAGACACUUUCAGAGAUACCCGUAGUCUACCUUUAUAGUCACCCAGUUACGUUGUGACGUUUGGCACACCCAAAGCACUCCUACGGUAUCCGGGAGUUACACGAUCUCAUGGUCUAAGGAAAAGAUACUUUGACAUUGGAAAACUCUAGCAAACGAACUAUACGAUCUUGUGCUAUGUUUAGGAUUGGGUCUUGUCCAUCACAUCAUUCUCCCAAUGAUGUGAUCUCGUUAUCAAUGACAUCCAGUGUCCAUAGUCAGGAAACCAUGACUAUCUGUUGAUCAACGAGCUAGUCAACUAGAGGCUCACUAGGGACAUGUUGGUGUCUGUUAUUCACACAUGUAUUACGAUUUCCGGAUAACACAAUUAUAGCAUGAAUAAAGACAAUUAUCAUGAACAAGGAAAUAUAAUAAUAAUGCUUUUAUUAUUGCCUCUAGGGCAUAUUUCCAACAGGGCCUCCUUUCUCGUGUGGCCCCCGGAGGCUUCUUGACUUGCACUCCAAGCUCUCCGGAUCAGAUUUGUUCCAAAAAUAACACUCCCGAAGGUUUCAUUCCGUUUGGACUCCAUUUGAUAUUCCUUUUGUUCGAAAUACCAAAAUAGGCAAAAAAACAGCAAUAUGGGCUGGGCCUCCGGUUAGUAGGUUAGUCCCAAAAAUGAUAUAAAUGUGUAAAAUAAAGCCCAUAAACAUCCAAAAGAGGUAAUAUAAUAGCAUGGAACAAUCAAAAAUUAUAGAUACGUUGGAGACGUAUCAAGCAUCCCCAAGCUUAAUUCCUGCUCGUCCUCGAGUAGGUAAAUGAUAAAAAGAGAAUUUUUUAUGUGGAAUGCUACCUAGAAUUAUUCAUAAUGUAAUUUUCUUUAUUGUGGCAUGAAUGUUCAGAUCCAAAUGAAUACAAAAUAAAAGUUCAUAUUGACAUAAGAAAUGGUAAUACUUCAAGCAUACUAAUCAAAGUAAUCAUGUCUUCUCAAAAUAACAUGGCUAAAGAAAGUUAUCCCUACAAAAUCAUAUAGUCUGGCUAUGCUCUAUCUUCAUCACACAAAGUAUUUAAUCAUGCACAACCCCAAUGACAAGCCAAGCAAUUGUUUCAUACUUUAAUAAUCUCAAACUUUUUCAACUUUCACGCAAUACAUGAGCGUGAGCCAUGGACAUAGCACUAUAUGUGGAAUAGAAGGGUGGUUGUGGAGAAGACAAAAAGGAGAAGAUAGUCUCACAUCAACUAGGCGUAUCAACGGGCUAUGGAGAUGCCCAUUAAUAGAUAUCAAUGUGAGUGAGUAGGGAUUGCCAUGCAACGGAUGCACUAGAGCUAUAAAUAUAUGAAAGCUCAACAAAAGAAACUAAGUGGGGUGCAUCCAACUUGCUUGCUCACGAAGACCUAGGGCACUUUUGAGGAGGCCCAUCAUUGGAAUAUACAAGCCAAGUUCUAUAAUGAAAAAUUCCCACUAGUAUAUGAAAGUGACAACAUAUGAGACUCUCUAUCAUGAAGAUCAUUGUGCUAUUUUGAAGCACAAGUGUGGAAAAAGAGAUAGUAGCAUUAUCCCUUCUCUCUUUUUCUCUCAUUUUUAUUUUUUUUCUUUUUUCUUCCUUUUUUUCUUUGGCCUUUUUUUCUUUUUGGCCUUUCUAUUUCCCCCCCUUUUUUUUCUUUUUGUAAAGUACGAAGUCUCAUCCCGACUUGUGGGGGAAUCAUAGUCUUCAUCAUCCUUUCCUCACUAGGACAAUGCUCUAAUAAUGAAGAUCAUCACACUUUAUGGAUUUACAACUCAAAGCUAGAACAAGAUAUGACUCUAUAUGAAUGCCUCUGGCGGUGUACCGGGAUAUGCAAUGAAUCAAGAGCGACAUGUAUGAAAAUUAAUGCGUGUCAUAUGAACGGAACGGUGGAAAGUUGCAUGGCAAUAUAUCUUGAAAUGGCUAUGGAAAUGCCAUAAUAGGUAGGUAUGGUGGCUGUUUUGAGGAAGGAGUAUGGUGGGUGUAUGGUACCGGCGAAAAUUGCACGGUACAAGAGAGGCUAGCAAUAGUGGAAGGGUGAAAGAGUGCGUAUAAUCCAUGGACUCAACAUUAAUCAAAGGAACUCAUAUACUUGUUGCAAAAAUUUAGAAGUCAUCAAAAACCAAAGUACUACGCGCAUGCUCCUAGGGGGAUAGAUUGGUAGGAAAAGACCAUCGCUCGUCCCCGACCGCCACUCAUAAGGAAGACAAUUAAUAAAUAAAAUUGUGCUCCAACUUCAUCACAAAGCGGUUCACCAUACGUGCAUGCUAUGGGAAUCACAAGCUUCAACACAAGCAUUCUUUAAAUUCAUAAUCACCCAACUAGCAUGACUUUAAUAUCACUACCUCCAUAUAUCAAAACAAUUAUCAAGCAUCAAAUUGAUCAUAGCAUCCAAUUCACUUUCUAUGAUAGUUUUUAUUAUACCCAACUUGGAUGCUCAUCAUUCUAGAACCAACUUUAUGAUCAUAGCAAAUACCAUGCUGUUAUAAAAGACUCUCAAAAUAAUAUAAGUGAAGCAUGAGAGACUAGCAAUUUCUUCAAAAUUAAGACACCACCAUGCUCUAAAAGAUAUAAGUGAAGCACUAGAGCAAAAACUAUCAAGCUCAAAAGAUAUAAGUGAAGCACAUAGAGUAUUCUAGCAAAUUAUAAUCAAAUAGGCUUCUCCAAAAAGGUGUGUACAGCAAGGAUGGUUGUGGUAAACUAAAAAGUAAAGACUAAUAUAAUACACGACGCUCCAAGCAAUACACAUAUCAUGUGGCGAAUAAAAAUAUAGCUCCAAGUAAAGUUACAAAUGAACGAAGACGAAAGAGGGGAUGCCUUCCCGGGGCAUCCCCAAGCUUAGGAUUUUGGCUAUUCUUGAAUAUCUUGGGGUGCCAUGUGCAUCCCCAAUCUUAGGCUCUUGCCAGUCCUUAUUCCAUUGUCCAUAAAAGCUUUACCCAAAACUUGAAAACUUCACAACACAAAACUCAACAUGAAAUCUUAUAAGCUCCGUUAGUGAAAGAAAACAAAACCACCACAUAAGGUACUGCCAUGAACUCAUUCUUUAUUUAAUUUGGUGUUAAACCUACUGUAUUCCAACUUAUUUAUGGUUCAUAGACUGAUUUACUAUCCAUAGAUGCAUUGAAAUAAGCAAACAACACACGAAAAACAGAAUCUGUCAAAAACAGAACAGUUUGUAGCAAUCUGUAACUAACGCAAACUUCUGGAACUCUAAAAAUCCUACCAAAAUAGGAAGUCCUGUACAAUUUGUCUAUUGAACAGCAUAAAAAAGAAUCAACGCAAACGCACGUUCCUGUGAUUUAACAAAAUUAUAUUCGUGCGUGCAAAGUUUUUGUUUUUCAGCAGAAUCAAAUCAACUAUCAUCGUAGGUUAUUCUAUAGAUUCUACUUGGCACAAACACUAAUUAAAAGAUAAAAACACAUCUAACCAGAAGGUAGAUGCAAGAUUUAUUACUAAAUAGGAGCAAAAACAAAAAACAUAAAGAAAAUUUGGUUGCCUCCCAACUAGCGCUAUUGUUUAACGCCGCUAGCUAGGCAUAAAACAAAGAUAGAUCUAAUGAGUGUCAUCUUUGGCACUAAAUUCAUAAGUAGCACGCAUGAUAGAUUCAUAAGGUAAUUUAACUUUCUUUCUUGAAAAGUGCUCCAUGCCUUUCUUUAAUGGAAACUGGAAUCUAAUAUUCCCUUCCUUCAUAUCAAUAAUCGCACCAAUCGUUCUAAGGAAAGGUCUACCAAGAAUAAUAGGGCAAGAAAGAUUGCAAUCUGUAUCAAGAACGAUAAAAUCUACGGGCACCAAAUUUCUAUUUCCAACAAUGAGAACAUCAUUGAUCCUUCCCAUAGGCUUUUUAAUGGUGGAAUCCGCAAGGUGCAAAUUUAAAGAGCAACCAUCAAGAUCGCGGAAACCUAGAAUAUCACAUAAAGUUUUCGGAAUCAUGGAAACACUAGCACCCAAAUCACACAAAGCAAAACACUCAUAAUCUUUAAUUCUAAUCUUUAUAGUAGGUUCCCACUCAUCAUUAAGUUUUCUAGGUAUAGAAACUUCCAAAUUAAGUUUUUCAUCAUAAGAUUUCAUCAAGGCAUCAACAAUAUGUUUGGUAAAAGCUUUGUUUUGACUAUAAGCAUGAGGAAAAUUAACAACGGAUUGCAACAAGGAAAUACAACCUUUUAAAGUGCAAUUAUCAUAAUCAAAUUCCUUGAAAUCCGAGAUAGUAGGUUCAAUAUUAAUAGAAGUUGAGGAUUUUCCAAUCUCACUUUUACCAAAUUUAACAUCAAGAUCUAAAGACUCUCAAUUUUUGGGACGCCUUCUAGGCAAAGUUGAUUCAUCAUCACUCCCAUAAUCAUCAAAAUUCAUAUUGCAAAACAUAGAUCUAAUCGGAGACGUAUCAAUAACUUUAAGAUCCUCAUCAUUAUUUUCAUGAAAUUUUUCUGGUUUAGCGGCCAUCUUGUUGACUAAGGUGGCUUGCUUGUCAGAAAUUUUGGCUAUAGCAUUUUCAAGCCGGGUAAUUUGAGCGUUAACACCAUAGAAUUCUUUAUUCAUAUCAUCAAGCUCUUUGUUCAUGAACCCCCAAUUUUUUUUGUUCCUUAAGCUCUUUUCUAAAGAAAUUAUUAUGCUCAAAUUGCAAAUUCAUAAAACUUCUAAUAUUUGAUUCAAUCUCAUCCAUCCUUCUGAGAAGGUGGCCAGGGCCCUUAGGCGCAGCCAUAAGGUCAAGCAAGCAAACAAGCACACAAAAGAAGACAAAUGAAAAGAUAGGAGGAGAUUGGGAAAGAGAGGGCGAAUAAAAUGGGAAGGGUGAAGUGGGGGAGAGGAAAACGAGAGGCAAAUAGCAAAUAAUGUAAAUGCGAGGGAGAUGGGUUUGUGAUGGGUACUUGGUAUGUCUUGACUUGAGCGAAGACCUCCCCGCCAACGGCGCCAGAAAUCCUUCUUGCUACGUCUUGAGCUUGCGUUGGUUUUCCUCGAAGAGGAGAGGGUGAUGCAGCAAAGUAUAGCGUAAGUAUUUCCCUCACUUUUGAGAACCAAGGUAUCAAUCCAGUAGGAGUCUCCUCAAAAGUCCCACGCACCUACACAAACAAACUGAGAACUCGCAACCAACACAAUAAAGGGGUUGUCAAUCCCUUCAUGGCCACUUGCAAAAGUGAGAUCUAAUAAAGAUAGUAUGAUAAGAUAAAUAUAUUUUUGGUAUUUUAUAAGAUAGAUGCAAAAAGUAAAGAUGCAAAUAAAGGUAGAUUGAAAGCAAAUAUGAUAAGAGAUAGACCCGGGGGCCAUAGGUUUCACUAGUGGCUUCUCUCAAGAUAGCAUAAGUAUUACGGUGGGUGAACAAAUUACUGUCGAGCAAUUGAUAGAAAAGUGCAUAGUUAUGAGAUUAUCUAGGCAUGAUCAUGUAUAUAGGCAUCACGUCCAUAACAAGUAGACCGACUCCUGCCUGCAUCUACUACUAUUACUCCACACAUCGACCAACUCCUGCCUGCAUCUAGAGUAUUAAGUUCAUAAGAACAGAGUAACGCAUUAAGCAAGAUGACAUGAUGUAGAGGGAUAAACACAUGCAAUAUGAUAUAAACCCCAUCUUGUUAUCCUCGAUGGCAACAAUACAAUACGUGUCUUGCAACCCUUUCUGUCACUGGGUAAGAACACCGCAAGAUUGAACCCAAAGCUAAGCACUUCUCCCAUGGCAAGAAAGACCAAUCUAGUAGGCCAAACCAAACUGAUAAUUCGAAGAGACUUGCAAAGAUAACUCAAUCAUACAUAAAAGAAUUCAGAGAAGAUUCAAAUAUUAUUCAUAGAUAAACUUGAUCAUAAACCCACAAUUCAUCGGAUAUCAACAAACACACCGCAAAAAGCGAUUACAUCGAAUAGAUCUCCACAAGAGAGGGGGAGAACAUUGUAUUGAGAUCCAAAAAGAGAGAAUAAGCCAUCUAGCUAAUAACUAUGGACCCGUAGGUCUGUGGUAAACUACUCACAACUCAUCGGAGGGGCAAGGAUGUUGAUGUAGAGGCCCUCCAUGGUUGCUUCCCCCUCCGGCAGAGUGCCGGCAAGGGCUCCAAGAUGGGAUCUCGCGGAUACAAAAGGUUACGGCGGUGGAAAUUGUGUUUCGUGGUGCUCCUGGAUGUUUUCUGGGUAUGUAGGUAUAUAUAGGAGGAAGAAGUACGUCGGUGGACGCCCGAGGGGCCCACGAGACAGGGGGCGCGCCCUCCUAUCUUGUGGGGACCUCAGAGGCUUUUUGACUUGCACUCCAAGCUCUCUAGAUCAGAUUUGUUCCAAAAAUAAUGCUCCCGAAGGUUUCAUUCCAUUUGGACUCCGUUUGAUAUUCCUUUUCUUCGAAAUACUGAAAUAGGCAAAAAAAACAGCAAUAUGGGCUGGGCCUCCGGUUAGUAGGUUAGUCCCAAAAAUGAUAUAAAUGUGUAAAAUAAAGCCCAUAAACAUCCAAAAGAGGUAAUAUAAUAGCAUGGAACAAUCAAAAAUUAUAGAUACAUUGGAGACGUAUCACUGCCUCACAAACGCGCAACCGAGCAUGAAAGAUUGGCCAUGUCGGUUUAUUCUAAUGAAGGGUGCGAACGGCAUAUUAUACAUGUUGCUCAUGUAGGUAGUGUCAAACGAUAUGCAAUCGUGGUACGCCUCAGCAUAAGCUUUUCGAGCUAAGCCAUCCACCCAAAAUAUGUUGACAACUCUGUCCUCUUCAUCAUAUUUUACCUUAUAGAAGAAGUCUGGAUCGGUUUUCUGUAUAUCCUUGAAGUGCGCAAUUGUCUCAAUCAUGUCACCCUCCUUUGUGUUAUCUCUACGGAAACUUGUACACGCAUUUGUUAUUGCCUUUGGUCCGAGCGUCACCAUCAUCUCAGAUCCGUAGAACUCUGCCAUUAUAUGCAUCAUACGUCCUGCAUAAUACAAAAACAAAUAGUAUAUCCUUUUUUUAGUUGCACUAAUGCGCACAUCCAGCUGCACAGUAAUAGGACAUGUGUUGGCACAGAAGAUAAUUGCAGGAAAUGGACACCUAGCUGCACAUUUUUAAAAACACUUUGCACUUUUUGCAUACAGGACAUUGUGUAGUUGCACAGUGAAGACAAUCUAGUUGCACAACAAGCACCAAAAGUGAUAUACAAACAACAUGGGAAGUUGGACACCAGUUGCACAGUUAAGUCAUUUUAGUUGCACAGUAGUACCAUAACAGUUGCACACUAGACUGCCUAGAGGCAAACUUAAUUCUUUAAGGGAUAUAGAAACACCACACCUGUAGUCAAGUUGCAGUUAUACAAGAUGCGCAAAAACUCCUUUUCAUCAGGUGAGAUGCCUUGGUGGGAUCUCAAGUAUUUGGAUAACGAAGGUUUGUUCACGAGCGGAUGAUUGUGGUCACGAACAAAAUGCGUCACCUCCCAUCGCCCAUCUAUCAGCUUCACCAACAUUUUUGCCUUGCAUUGAGUCUGCUUUAUUGUCUCGCGUUUUCGUUUCUUCUUCUUACUAGGACCAGCCCCCUCUUCAGCAAAGAUUGGAGGUUGACCUUCCAUUUCCUCAUCACUGUCAACAGUUUUUGGAUCUGGAAUAGGGUCCAGGACAGGAGGAGCCUCAGCUCCUCCAUCAUCAGCUUUGGGCUUCUUGAACUUGUUACAGCAAAACUGUUGUUUUACCAAUACAUUGGUGUGGGGUGUCAGCCUAGAGGUGUACAUCUUGACAGAGAAACCCAUCCGUAGUGCGUAGCUGUUGUAGUGAUCCUUAGCAAUUUGAAGGCUGUCAAACCUCAUGCCAACAUAGGGUUCCAUAGGUUGAGAACCAGCCUCAUCCUCUCCUUCUUUUCCUUGCACAGCUCCGUCGACAGCCCCAGCUCCUAGCUCAGUCCUGGUUGGACCAGGAACAUUUGCCGCGGUUCCCGUGUCAUCAAGAGUAUGGCUCUCUGACUGCAAAGACACCACUACAGGGGCACCACAGGUUGAUGACUGGCCUGCCACAUUGUCAUGGCCCAUAGGGUUACCACCACGACUUGCCUGCGUGUAGUAAACAGAUCGCCCAUUUUCUGUCCAAUUUCCUUGUGGUAUACUGGGUUGCUGCUAAUCCAUAUCAUGAGGAAGCUCAUUGAGAUCAGGAGGCAACUCAUUGAGAUCAAGCUUUUCCCCCUUUUUUGGAUGCUGCCACACACUCCCUGCACAUAUAAAAAAGAAGAAAGUGAUGUCAUCAGUUGUUAACCACAGAAAAGAGUGUUUCAAACAACCUAAAAACUUAGUAAAUAGGCAGUUGCACACCAUUUCAUGACAAUCUUAGUUCCAAAAGCAACAUGACUGUACCAUAAUCUUUAUUAUAACAGUUAUGCAUUUUUUUGUUUGCAUAGAGUUGUUGUGUUAGUUGCACAGUUUGCAGUAAAUAGCUGGCAAGAACAUGACUUCUUUUUACUACAGAGUUUUCUGACUUUUUCCCUCUAUUUGUUGCAAUGAUCUGCAGGUUUUCUGUUUGGCAAGGAGCUGUUUUAGAUUUUUCUGCACAUAAUUUGAUGUUACAUUUGAGACGGAAAAUCCAGGUGAAAGAAGAAAGAAGAAUUGGAUGACAGAUUAUAGUUAUAUGUUUUCAUCGCUGUUUAUGACUUUAGUUCUGGUAUAUUGAACAUCUUUUUACACUAUAGCUUUGCAAUAGGUGUGGGACCAGAAUAUAUGUGUGGGACAAGAUUACAUGCGUGAAUAUUUUAAUAUGGUUUGUGGCUUCAUUAGCUAUGGACAAAAGUUCUUGUGUUUUUGCUGUCGCACUACAGAUUUCUGGUUUUCGCUAGAAUAGAUGUCUCAAUUGCCAGGAUGCAUUUUUUCAGUUGGCCAGCAUACAUAUUCAGUUGGACAGUCAAUGUGUUUAGUUAGCUAGAAUAGAUGUCUCAGUUGGCCAGGUUGCAUUUAUUUUAGUUUUGGCCAAUAUGCAUGUUCAGUUGGACAGUUAAUGUGUUCAGUUGGCUAGAAUAGAUGUUUCAGUUGGCCAGGAUACAUUUUUUCAGUUUGGCCAACAUGCAUGUUUAGUUGGCCAGAAAACAUGUUUUUAUUGCACAUAUAUUAUAGGUUUUCUAAAAUGUUAACUCACAAAUAUCCAGUACAUGUGGGGUACAAUGCAUGUUUUAGUUUUGGCUAGCAUGCAUGCUGAGUUGCCAGAAUAUAGAUUCAGUUGGCUGGGAUGCAUGUUCAGUUGCACAUUUAUGAUUUUUUGCUGCACAUAUCUUUUGGACAGUCAAUUUGUUCAUUUGCAAACAAUAACUACAAGUUGGUAGAAUGCAUGUUUAGUUUUUGGCUACAAUGCUUGUUGAGUUGGCUUUAAUCAUGUUUUAAUUGGCCAGGGAACUUGUUUUAGUUGGCUUGUUUAACACAUCCAGGUGGUAGAAACUUGUUUGGCAUGCAUCAUAUUCAGUAAAGUUGGUCUCAAAUCAUGUUUAGUGUGCAACUAGGCAGCUGUGCAACUAAACUUGACUUGUGUUUAGUUGCACAAACCAUGAAAUAGUAGGCUUCCAUCCAUGGUUUGUCGGUGUUCUGGGAACGGCGGUCCCUAGACUUGCCUGCUUGCGGCCUGCGGCGUGGCUCAAAGGGGGCCCAGCACGGCCCAUCUUCAUCAACACAAGCUCAGGACCCUCGCGAGGGGCCAAGCCUCGCGGGGCGGACGACCAGGAGCUUCCUCAGGCACGGCCUCAUCAGGCUAGCUCGCGAGGAGGCGGGGAGAUCAAGGCGGGGUACCCAUGACGCAAGCCAUGACGACCAAGGGCGCCAGUCGGGCGCCAGCCCGCGCAGCGUCCUCCUUUCCUCUUUGAUGCAAAGGGAGCAAGCGCAGGCAAGAGCAUCAAGCAAAGGCAUCCAUUUCGGUGCAACAAGACCAAGACUAGCCCAACGGCAGGGAGGAAGUCAUUGUGAAGCCCAAGCAGGCGUCACCACCAGAGCCUUUGACAGGCGAGGACCAACUUUAGUCAGGAUAAGUGUACCCGAUGUUCCCCUUCAAAAUGGCCAAUUGUUGGCGCCCUUCCCGCUCAAUAUUUGGGGAGAGGCCCAGGGCCUUUGCCUAUAAAUAGGAAUAGCCACCCCCAUGGUAGAGAGAGCGAGCAGCUAGCAUCGAGCAUCAAGAAUCCACAAGAUAGACAGGAUCCUCACCAGAAAACUAGUAGAGAGAGCGACUGAACUCCUCCUAGCAGCUCAUCGCACCAGCCAAGAACAGACCCUCACGAGGCUGUUCUUCCUUGUAUUGUUCAUCAACAGCCCAAGAGGCAAUCCACCAUACCACACACUGGAGUAGGGUAUUACACCACGAUGGUGGCCUGAACCAGUAUAAACUCUGUGUCUCUUGUGUUGUUCCUUCCGUAGUUUAGAUCCUAGCGAGUCGGCGAGGGGCAGGUAGGUAGAGGGCAAAAUCUCCGCACGCACCCCAGUGUUCGAACCUCAAGGGUCUGCCGGAACCCGAAAUCCGACAUUUGGCGCGCCAGGUAGGGGUGCGCCGGAAUUCGUCUUCCGUCGCCCUGUUCUUCUCCGACCAUCGCAUCCAUGUCUGAUGCUCGUCGUUCCCCGUCACUUGCCAUCAACGCCGCCACCGGCCCCGCGGGGAACGAGCAGCAAGCAUCGUCCCAGCAUCCUUCCAAGAGGCAAGACGGCCGCACUGCUACCCCCUCCCUCACCCCAGCUGGUUCUUCGUCUCGCGCAUUCCGCGCGCCCAUGGAGGCUCGAGCUGCGCUCAUCGCGGCGAACGAGCUCCUGUGCUACCGUCCGGUCGACGACGUCUACGAAGAAUGGCUCGACCGCGUCGCCGAGCUCGUCCGUGCCGCAGGGGGCUCUCCUGCGUCGUCCAUCCCACUGCACCGCACCCCGCCCUGCGCGGGCGAUGAAGCUCCGGGGGCGCCUCAGCCGCCUCCCCCUCAAGAAGGCGCCCUGGCCCCAAGGUGCGUGGCCCCUGGGCGGAACCCGCUCCGUCAGGCGCCAGUGUGGUAGGAGCAGAGCUGCCAAGAAGUUCCUUGCCCGUGAGAAGCUGCCCGAGCACUCCCUGCUCCGGCUCGUCGCGACCACGCUCCUGCUCCAGCGCGUCAAGACCCCGCGCUUGUCAGGACCCCGACUCAAUGCCACAUCGAUCUAGCAUGUAACACCUCAUAUCACUUUGCGGCCUCACGCACGGUAUUCCCACGGGUGUCGCCUUACCUUAGCCCGGGACCGUUUGCGCCUUUUGGCACACGUAUAUGACAGUGUCGCUAGCAUCCAUAUGAUAAGGAGCCCGGGCUGACAUGGCUAGUCGUAAACCCAAAGUGGCACAGACUUACAGGGACAGGCAUCCAUGACCCAGCAUCGAACGUGUCGGUCAUCAGCGAGUGAAACCAGGCUGUAGCACUGGGCUAGCAGGACUCCAGUGAACCGGGCUGUAGCGGGCUAACAGGACUCCGGUACUCAAUGCGUGACAUUUCCCCGAAGGGACAGACACAGGAACGAAGAAGGACACAUGCCGGCCAGCCUAAGUGUUCCAGAGCAGUAGCAAGCUACCAUGGCUCAGCGGUAACACUAGGAGACAUUUCCCGGUAAGAGAGGCUACUAAAGAUAAACAACUAGAUAGUCAGAUCCCACACAUACCAAGCAUUUCAAUCAUACACACAAUAUGCUCGAUAUGUGCAAAAACAACGAAGCAUCACAACAUGACUCUACGACACAAGUACUUAUUCAAUAGGCUCCGAGGAGCGAGAUAUUACAAACAUGGGUCUCAUGACCCAACAAUCAGAGCAUACAAGUCAAAGCACAAACGGAAGCUAUCAUGUCUGGGUACAGACAUCUAUAACUGAAAAAGGCUGAGAAGCCUGACUAUCUACCAAUCCUGCCGAGGCACAAGAUCGUAGCUGAGGUAACAAGCUAAACGUCGAAGACCACACGGAAUUACUAGUGAGACUGAAGUCUCUCUGCAAAAACAUAAAAUAGGCAAACGUGAGUACAAAUGUACCCAGCAAGACUUACAUCAGAACUAUCUACAUAUGCAUCAUUAUCAACAAAGGGGAUGGUGGGGUUAAACUGCAGCAAGCCAGCUUUGACUCGGUGGCUAUCCUGAACUACGACUGCAGGUAACUCUUUUGAGGUGGCGCACACGAGUCCACAUAUUCACCAUAUCAAUACACCACUAUGGAUCCGCUCCCGUCUCCCUACGAGAACGCCAUCCACAGCACUCACGCUUAUCUUGCGUAUUUUAGAGUAUCCACUUUCACUUGUCUAUGAACUGAUAUAAGCAACCCAGAAGUCCUUUUCCGCGGACACGGCUAUUCGAAUAGAUGAUGUUAACCCUGCAGGGGUGUACUUCUUCAUACAUGUUUCCACCACUUAGCGUCUGCACACGACAUGUGCUCGGCAGACUUCAAGCGAAAGCCGACGUGGGUGUAGACCACGACCUACCUAAACACUCAAGUCUCUAGUCCAGGUUUAUCGCCUAUUCAGGUUCCAUCCAUGAGGAGAUCCGGCCGGAGUUUCGCUCACAGCCCCAAACGAUGUGAACAGGGUUCUCGAGAUACCAAACGGGCAUCCGGUACACCGUGCCACGUACCUACCGCAUCACGGCCCACCCCUACGGUCAGCGCUGUCCACGGCCUCCAGUAAGCUACAAACACCAGAAACUACUUGCAACUCCUGGACAGAGGACAAGGGUGAAUAAGAAGUCGAGCGGGGUCAUAUUUCAGGGCCCAAUGUAUGGUAGUAACUGAAUCAUGGAUCACAAACACAGAACUCAGUUCCUGAGGACGGCUGCAAUGAGACAACCCACCAUGUACUCCUACAUGGCCUCUCACGGCUACCUUUACCAAAUCGUGUUCACCACUUAGCUCACACACAGUAGGACAUGUUCACACACCUCUGAUUCAUCCCUGAUGAAUCAGACCUGACUCAACUCUAAGCAGUAGCAGGCAUGACAAACAAGCAAGAAUGAGUAGGCACAACAGGGCUCAAACAACUCCUACUCAUACUAGUGGGUUUCAUCUAUUUACUGUGGAAUGACAGGUCAUGCAAAGGAUAAAGGGGUUCAGCUACCGCAGCAAGUAACAGAUGAAUCGGUGUUGUCCUAAUGCAUUAAAAGAGAGCAGGAGCGAGAGAGUAGGAUUGUAUCGAAAUGAACAAGGGGGGUUUUUGCUUGCCUGGCACUUCUGAAGAUAACAUUGAGUCUUCAUCAGUGUCAACGAUCACAUCAUCGGUAUCACAUCUAUCGAGAGGGGACAAAUACCGGCAACACAGAAGGAAACACAAUCAAUGCAAUGCACAAUAUGAUGCAUGAUCAUGACAUGGCAAAAUGAAUGUGUUUUGGGCUAAUGCAUCUAGCAACAAGUUAAAUGGAGUUGGUUUGAACCCUAGGUUCAAAUUCAAACUCCACAUGUGAUUAUUUAAAUGCUAUUAAUGUGAUUUGUGAUAAACAGCAGCUAUAAGUUGUUCUAACAUGCAUGAAAAUGGUACAGAUGGAUUCCUUGAAUUUUUCUGAUAAUUUUUCAUAUAUAAAUUAUUUAAUUUGGAGUUACGGUUAAUUUUCUAUGAUUUAUUGAAGUUUAGGGCAUUUUCUGGAAUUUCCUGAUUAUUUUUAAAUCCAGAAAAUACUUAUUGCGUCAGCCCCACGUCACAGUGACGUCAGCAGGGUCAACUGGGCGUCCCAGGUCAAACCUGACCAGUGGGGUCCACUGGUCAGUGACCCAGUCAACUAACCAGGUUAGUUAGCCCUAACUAACUUAGUUAGCCGGGCGGGGCCCGCAUGUCAGUGGCCUAUCUAAUUAGCUAACUUAAUUAACGCUAACUAAUCUGACCCUAAUCAAGCAGGCGCCUGGGCCCACACGUCAGGGGGUCAAACCCCGGGUCAAACCCGCCGGAGUUGACCCGCGGCUUGUUGCCGGCGACGCCAGCAACGGCGGAGGGCGUCGGAAACGCUCCUUCGGCGACCAAAUCGGCGACUGAGGGGCCCUACGCGUAGCUGGGAGUCGCCCGCAUCCAUCUGUGCAAACGGCAGGGGCUGAGGUGGCCCGAGCUCACCGGAACGGGGCCUGCGGCGGCGACCGGAGUUCGGGCCAGCACGGGCACUGGCUACGCUUGGCGAGCGAGUGAGCUGAGAGGCUGGACGGGCUCCUGGGAGAUCCACGAGCUCGAGGUCGUGCUCGGACGCGAGUUCGGUGACCUGCAACGACGGCGGCGACAGGCGUGACGGCGGUGAGCUUCCGCCGCGGUGGCCAGGGGGGAUAGAGGAGGAAUUCAACGGCGGGGAGAGAGGGGUUGGGAGCAGGAGCUCACAGCGGGUGCAGCGGUGGCCUCGGCGAGCUCGGGGAGGCACCGGAGCUCGCGAAUCCUCGAAAGUUCGCCGGCGGCCGAAGUUUGGGGGCGAGCUUGAGGGCGACGCUGCAGGGCUUCCGGAGGGCCGUGGAUCGGUGGAGAGGGAAGAGGGGGUCGAGGCGGAGCCUCUGGGCUAGUCGGGGGAGCGAGGGAGGCCCGGUGGCCGUGGUUAUGGCGAGCGGCGGCGACGGGCUCCGCUCGGUGAGGNNNNNNNNNNNNNNNNNNNNNNNNNNNNNNNNNNNNNNNNNNNNNNNNNNNNNNNNNNNNNNNNNNNNNNNNNNNNNNNNNNNNNNNNNNNNNNNNNNNNNNNNNNNNNNNNNNNNNNNNNNNNNNNNNNNNNNNNNNNNNNNNNNNNNNNNNNNNNNNNNNNNNNNNNNNNNNNNNNNNNNNNNNNNNNNNNNNNNNNNNNNNNNNNNNNNNNNNNNNNNNNNNNNNNNNNNNNNNNNNNNNNNNNNNNNNNNNNNNNNNNNNNNNNNNNNNNNNNNNNNNNNNNNNNNNNNNNNNNNNNNNNNNNNNNNNNNNNNNNNNNNNNNNNNNNNNNNNNNNNNNNNNNNNNNNNNNNNNNNNNNNNNNNNNNNNNNNNNNNNNNNNNNNNNNNNNNNNNNNNNNNNNNNNNNNNNNNNNNNNNNNNNNNNNNNNNNNNNNNNNNNNNNNNNNNNNNNNNNNNNNNNNNNNNNNNNNNNNNNNNNNNNNNNNNNNNNNNNNNNNNNNNNNNNNNNNNNNNNNNNNNNNNNNNNNNNNNNNNNNNNNNNNNNNNNNNNNNNNNNNNNNNNNNNNNNNNNNNNNNNNNNNNNNNNNNNNNNNNNNNNNNNNNNNNNNNNNNNNNNNNNNNNNNNNNNNNNNNNNNNNNNNNNNNNNNNNNNNNNNNNNNNNNNNNNNNNNNNNNNNNNNNNNNNNNNNNNNNNNNNNNNNNNNNNNNNNNNNNNNNNNNNNNNNNNNNNNNNNNNNNNNNNNNNNNNNNNNNNNNNNNNNNNNNNNNNNNNNNNNNNNNNNNNNNNNNNNNNNNNNNNNNNNNNNNNNNNNNNNNNNNNNNNNNNNNNNNNNNNNNNNNNNNNNNNNNNNNNNNNNNNNNNNNNNNNNNNNNNNNNNNNNNNNNNNNGGCUACAGGUAAGUGGCCCAGGUAGGCUUCUGUUCUUUUUAUUUUUUUCUUCUGUUUUGUUUUAUUUAAACUUUUGCCACUGUUUUGAAUUAAAAAAUAAUAAUUCAAACAAUGCCAAAAACUCCUCUGAAUAUUUUAUAUUGCUAGAUGGACUUUUCCAAAAGCUUAUAAAUAUUUCAGGGGUAUUUGAAAUUAUAUUCUAAUUAUAUGAAUAUAAUUCAAAUUCAAAUAGCUAAUGAAUUAAAUCCAAAGUCCCAAAAAUAAAUCCUUAAAAAUGUUCAAUAUUUUGGUUGGGACCAGAACCCUUACCAAAAAUUAUCAAACAUUUAAGAAGAGCAUUUUGGAGCAAUGAAUGAGAUUUCUAGGGUUUUUGCCCCUCUUUUAUUUAAGGUUUUUGAGGCUUCCAAUAUUCCUCAAUUCAAGUUUCAGAAUUUAAACAUGAUGCACACAUGAAGCUAGCCUAGAGCAUUACCAGAAGCUAGGGAUGUGACAGCGCUACUCCCAGCUGCAGUGCAUGGGGACCCGCAGGACCAAGCUCUUCGUCACCCAAGGCCUCCCGUGGCCACGGCGGGCUGCCGCGCCUUCACCGCCGAGCUGCGCAGCGUCGCGUGGCCCGGCAAGUUCAAGCCAGACCUGCCUCCUCGCUAUGACGGUACGGCUGACUCCGCAGAGUUCCUCCAGCUCUACGAGCUGGGCAUCGAAGCUGCCAACGGAGACGAGAAGGUCAUGGCGAACUGGUUUCCCAUGGCGCUCAAGGACGGGUCCCGCACCUGGCUCCUGAACCUGGCUCCAGGCACGAUCUCCUCCUGGGAUGAGAUGCGCACCCGCUUCAUCGCCAACUUCCAGGGUACUCGCGACCGGCCACCCGCCGUGAGCGUCAUGUGCCGUAUCAAGCAGCAACCAGGGGAAACCCUGCAGAAGUACAUCCAGCGUUUCAACAACGCGCGCCUCAAGAUCCCCAAGGUGACCGAGGAGGCCAUCAUCUCAGCCUUCUCCGACGGCGUGCGCGACGUCAAAAUGAAGGAGGAGCUGGUGAUGCAUGAAGACUUGUGCACUUCCUUGGAGCUGUUCAACCUGGUGACCAAGUGCGCUAGGGAUGAGGAAGGGUGUCUCUCCCUCCUCGAGCUGCCUGCCGCAGACCCGGAAGAGAAGAAACCCAAGGCCAAGGAUGUGAAGCGCAAGGGGGCUGCCGUGCUCGCAGCAGAACCAGACACCAAGCGGGACAGAGAUCAGCCCAAAUCUUCCAAGGGCAGUCGGUACUGCGUGUACCACGACCUCCGCACCCACAACACCAAUGAAUGCCAAGAACUCCGAGCCGUGCGUGAAGGAAGGAUCGGCCGACGUCCCGACCGCAGCGACCGGGGCUACGGUCGAGGAGGAGGAAGGAAUGCAGGACGCUGGGUAGACCGUGGCCCUCGCCAAGGGUGGCGCGACCAACCUCGCGAGGAUCGCUGGCAGGGCCCACCUCGCGAGGAAGACUGGAGGGAUCAGCCUCGCGAGGAUCGCUCGCAAGGCAACACAGGCCUCCCUCCACUGCCGCCGCAGCCAAGGAAAAAUGAGGACCGUCAUCAGGACGAGGGGGCUGGGGGCUUCCAGGAGCCACGUGCGAUCUCCUGCAUCCUGGGGGGAGCUCAAGCCCCAGCCUCUCAACGCAUCUUCAAGCAGUUCGCCCGCGAAGUAAAUGCAGUCCUCCCCAAGCUCGGGGCCACGCGCCCUCUCAGGUGGUCGGCGUGCUCCAUCAUGUUUAGCUCAGCGGAUCAGCUCAAGUGCGCGGCCACAGCCGGAGUCCUCCCAAUGCUUUGUUCUCCAAUCAUCAGCAACGUGCUAGUCACCAGGACCCUCAUCGAUGGCGGGGCAGGGCUCAACGUCCCAUCCGUGGAAACAUUCAACAAUCUCCAAGUGCCCUACAAUCAGCUUCAGCCAACCAAGCCUUUCUCCAGAGUCACCGACGGUUCCACGGCCCCGAUUGGGCAGGUCCGCUUCCCUGUCACCUUCGGGGCGCACGGCAACUACCGCACCGAGCUCAUCGACUUCGACGUCGCCCACAUUUGCCUGCCAUACAACGCCAUCCUCGGGUACCCAGUGCUGGCCAAGUUCAUGGCCGUAACCCGCCACGGCUACAACGUCCUCAAGAUGCCAGGAAGUGGCGGAGUCAUCAUGGUGCCCUGCAAAGAGAAAGACACGGUGUGCUCCCUGGAACGAGCCUUUUAGGCCGCAUCACUGGAAGACCCGGAUCGCGGAAGUAGGAGGCUUCUCGAGACCGCCCCCAAGAAGAAGAAGACAUCGUCUGGCCCGACCCCUCAGGAGACAGGCCCCUCAGGGCCCGCGUCUGCCCAGGGGGUCCUUCCAUCGCAUAGGGAAGCGCGCCCGACGCCCUCCUCAGGCAGGGAUCGAGGGCUCUCCCCUGGAGGGCCGCCGACCUUGCCAAGGUCACGAGGGAGGCGCUUGGGCACCACUUGGAGGCGUGUUUCGAAGCACGUUUCCCUCAAGAAGAAGCAAGGCAAGGAGGGCCAAACCCUCAGGAGUUCGUCAGCAAGGCCAUUCAGGAGCUACAGGAGUCAAGAGUCAUGAGAGGCAGCCGCUGCUUACCCGCUGUGGCCCCCCAUCCAGGCGAGGAUGGUGGGCUGCACGUCUGCAUCGACAUACCAGGGCUCAACCAAGCCGCCUCUCAGGAGCGCCUCUGGCCCUCGCAAGUGGGGCGCUGCGAAGGUCCACCCCGCAUCUACGUUCGCAUGCCUUAUGGCUUGCCGAACGCGGCUGCCACGUACCAUCGCCUCAUGAGGGGCAUCCUGGAGGCUCAAGAGGCCAGGCGUUCCGCAACCCUAGUGGAGAUGGAGAUGGUCCGCGAGGAGCCACCAGCGCCUCCGGAGCCUCCCGAGGCCCCUGGGCCUGGGGGCUCGUGAGGAUCGGCUCCCACAGCCCAUCGAGUCUGCUACACCAACACCCCUUCGUCGUCAACACUAUUAGGUGACAUCUUUCAAGUUUCAUUUCCAGCUGGGAGCGCCCUCAGGGCUGCAUCAUUCCCAGGCCGCGUGGGUCCGUCCCUGCGGUGUGUAUCCCUUUUGCUCGUGUUUUUAGCUUACUUUGUUGGGGGCGCCCCUCGGGCUGCAUCAUCCCCAAGUUGCUCGGGUCAGACCCAGCGGCGUGUACCCCUUUUGCAUUUAUCUCCGGGCCAUGCUUUCGACCCAUCAUACUUGUUAUUUGGUGCCUGUCCGUGGCACCUUUUCUUCCUUGAUGUCAGCAGCUUGCGCGUUAAAGGGGGGUACCUGAGCAUCAUGACUCAGGGCUCCUACUGGCUCUCCAGCCCUCACCCUCUGGCCUUGUCCACGGCAUCGCGACCUGGCAUACCAGCGACGGCUGAGACCAGCUCGAGGGCCGGGACCCGAGGACGUAGAGCUUCGACAUCUAACCAAGCUUGCGCGUUAAAGGGGGGGUACCUGAGCAUCGCGACUCAGGGCUCCUACCGGCUCUCCAGCCCUCACCCUCUGGCCUUGUCCACGGCAUCGCGACCUGGCAUACCAGCGACGGCUGAGACCAGCUCGAGGACCGGGACCCGAGGAUGUAGAGCUUCGACAUCUAACCAAAUUUGCAGGAACACACCCCAAGAUAAGGCCCAGUGCCAGGCGCAACCCGCCUUGAGGUAGGGCCCCAUGAGUCCCACGCUGGCUCACGGGUGCCCAGAUACACCUCAUCAGGCCCUACCGUGCCAGCCACGUGUCAGGGCGGGGUUGUACACGCCCCUGGGGCUCCUCUCGAAGGGGAGCCCCCUCCCACGCACUAGUGGAAGCACCAUGCUCUGCGCUGGCUGACGACACUGCCGAGGAGCGGCUAUGCCCGUACACAUACAGAAGCGCUAUGCUCCGCGCUGGUGAUAAAUAACUGAGGGUGGCCCCCGGGCCGCAUCAACCUCAGGGAGCCCAGAGCUCAGUGUCUAGCCUCAUCGCAAUGCCUCCCCUCGGGAGUGCCGCGCGAGGGGGCUGGGCACGGGGGCUGCGCCUGGGUCACGCCCAGAUGCACACCACCCAGCCAGGCCCCCGGGCCUGGUUCGUCGCGCGUCCCUCCCCGAGUGGAGCCAAGGAAUGAAGGCCGUUUGAGCGUCAAGGGGGACUCCUGAGCAUCGCGACUCAGGAGCCUAACUGGUCACGUAGCCCCUCACUCCUUAGUUCCGAAAGGCUAACGGCGGUUGAGGUAUGCGCGGGGCCGGGCUCUGCAGACAUAGAACGGUAGAUCCACCCACAUCUCACCUCCCUAAGGAGUCACCCCCACAUCUCACUUCCCUACUUGCUGUUCGAGCGCCAAGGGGGACUCCUGAGCAUCGCGACUCAGGAGCCUAACUUGUCACGUAGCCCCUCACUCCUUGGUCCCGUCCUGGUUUCCGGUCGGGGCUAACAGCGGCUGAGGUAUGCGCGGGGCCGGGCUCUGCCGGCGUAGAACAUAAGCAAGUAGGAAGGAAAUAGCACAAAUUUCAAGGAAUUCAAAAGCAAAUAUUACAGUCCAUACUGUUAUCACAGCACCAAAUGCAAGUUUUAACGCCUCCCCGAGGCAUGGUACAUGUGCAGGAAUUAAAAGCAGGACGGGAGCCGCAACGGAGUCACUUGUCGGCGAUGGAGCUGCGCGGAGCGGGUUCGCCUUGUGGAGCUGCAGGGCCGGCAGCGCCCCGCUUCGGCUUGGUGCUGAAGGCCCGGAACUUCCCCAGCAGAGCCUCCACGCGACCCUUCAUGGCCUCAGUGGCGGCAGCGGCAAGCUUGCCGCUUGCUGGCUCCAGCAGGCUGUCGAGGUCGAUGUUGGGGUCACGAAGAUAGAUGUGGGUAAGGACCCGCGUCAGCGCUACAGAACACAAGAUGCGCGCCUCGGCCUCGACCGUAGGGCCAAGGCCAAGGGUGACGUCUUCAAGAGCACGAACCAGGAAGGGAAGCAGCUUGGCGGGGCCGUCCUCGGCACCGGCCAGCAGGCUCUCCAGGCCGCUGUCAUAAAGCGUCUUCAGCGAAGUGCGAGCCUUCUCCUCCAUCUCCGCGAAGGCCACGCGAUCCUCGGCAAGAACCCGUGCCUUGCCGUCUAGCUCGACCUUCCUCGCCUCCAACUCUUGCUCCAGCGCGCCUAGGCAGUCACGGCGCUUCUUGAGCUUGGCGUCCCGGUCCUUGACGGCCGCCUCGUGAGCCUUCAUGCCUUCCUCCUGCUCUUGGCGAAUGCGGGUCUCCUCGGCGAGCUGGUCCCGCAGGCCCUGCAGCUCGCUCUCCAGCGCCUUGCAGCGACCUCGGACAUUAGCCACCUCCCCCAAGGCGGCAUCGCGAGCAGCCUUCGCCCCAAGGACGGCCUGCUUCUCCUCAUCGCAAGUCGUCGAGGCCUGGACCAGUGCCGCCCGAAUCGAAGCGUCGGAGCGAAUCCAGCCGGAAGCCAGCUCCAAGCGCCCGACCACUAAACGAGGGUCGGCGCCCAGAAGAUCCUGCCGCAGACGGUCCAGUUCGGUGGCAGCACGAUCCAGAAUAGUAGGAGGAGUCGGGGAAACAUCAGUCGGUGGAGUAGGAGGAGAAGACGGCAGCGUGACCACAGUAUCCUGAGGUGGAUCCUGCUGCACCCCAACGACCGUGGUGGCGGCAUCAGGCAAGGGAACCUCAGGAGUCGCUUGGGCCGUGGGGGCUGAGCUCGCCCCGGCCGGCUCAGCCAGGCCUCGCGAGGACGCCCGGGCAGGAGAGUCCCAUGCGUCAUAGUCACCUUCUUUCGCGGGCAGAGGCGCUGCCCUGGAUGGAACCUCAGGAGCUCCGUUCGACUUCUUUGCCGCGGGCGCCAGCCUAGCCGGAAGAUACGAAUAUCAAGCCUCAGCAACAGAACAAGAAAUAAGACAGGAGUCAAGCACUUACAGGUCGUCGCUCGCGAGCUCUAGCAGCCUCCGGCCGUACUUGAAGCCCGAGAGCCGGCUGCAAGGAUCAGCCUCAAGGAGCUCGGGAGCAGGAGGCGCGUCCGCGGAUCGCCUCGGGGCCGGGGCAGACCCGCGGGGGAUCAGCCCGGUCUGGUCCUUCUUCGGGAUCGGGGGCAGGCUCCCGCCGCCUUGCUCGUCAUCAUCCUCGUCGUCAUCACUCAGAGAGAGGCGGAGAGCGCGGGACCUGCGCCGAAGGGGGGGAGCCCUUGACUCUCCGUCGGUCGCCUCGGAGUCAGGCAAUUUUUCCCGCUCCCCUUCUUCCUUCUCCUCGCUGGAGUCGCCGGAGGACACAUCCACUGGGUCCUCGGGAGCCUCCGCGAGCACGGGCCCGUCCCCGUUGAAGACGGGCAUGGACUCCACUACCUGCUCCCAGUCCUCGCGGAGGAACAGGGGCAUAGGAGCGCCCUCCAACCUCGCCACGUCGCCCCCGACCAAAGACUGGAGGACCGCAGCCAGAUCCUCGCCGGCCAAGACCACGGGGCUCGGGUGGGGCCUCCACAUCGGAAGUGAGUACGGACGAAGCGGAGCCAGCUGGUGCUCCAGGAACUCCCUCAGCAGCGAUGCGCCAGUCAGCUUCGCCACCGCCGUGUUGGCCGGCCUCAGAUCCGCGUCCAUCUUCUCCAACACCAGCCUCGCGUGGGGGUCCACAAGCUCCACUCGAGACCAGUCGUCGGAGCUCGAGGGAUGCCCCGUGGGCAAGAUCAGCCGAGGGUGGAUGCGCCCAGCAUCUACCAAGACCCACUUACUCCUGAAGCCCUCAAUCCUCUUCCCGGGGUUCGAAAUGGCGAUGGAGCUACCGUACGCGACGAAGCUCGCGCACGCAGAGAUGGGACCACGAGAGGUCCGGAGGGAGAAGUAGUGGCGCAGCAAGGCCACUGAGGGCUUCACCCCUACGUGAGCCUCGCAAUAGCAGGCGAAGAUUGCCAGAAGAAGGACAGAGUUGGGGUGGACAUGCAGAGCUUGUAGCUUGUAAUGGCGAAGGACAGAGAAGAACUCAGAAAAGGGAGGCACCAGACCAGCAACAAUGGCGCUCACAAAAAGCGGAUAGAAGGUGCUCCCUUGGCCCUCAGGGAGGGCGGAGCCGGCCUUGAACACCUUCGCCCCGUCGAUGCCCUGCGCCGCCACCAUCUGGCGCACCCGAGCAAGGCUCGCCUUCGACACGUUCGACGAGUCUAGGGCGGACGAAUACCAACUCCGGCCGGGGCCUGGCGAGGCACCAUGUCUUGCUAGGGCGCGCAGACGGAGUAGAUCUGAAGAUUUCAGAGGCAGGAAGGAGAGGCGCAAGAAAGGGGAUCUGAGCAGCUACCGGACAAAGCAAAGGAGGCAAAGCCUAGACAGAUGCCGCUCCUUUAUCAACUCGCGCGGUUGCUGAGGCGCCCACGUCCAAUCAACCGCCACGCGGCGCCCAAGGCCGCAGGCUGUUAGGGCCCGCGGCACUUCGCACUUGCCCCUUCGCCUCUUUGCUCGGCCAAGUCCGGGCGCGCCUUGGGCCCGGGGGCUAAUGUCGGUGUUCUGGAAACGGGGGUCCCCAGACUUGCCUGCCUGCGGCCUGCGGCGUGGCUCAAAGGGGGCCCAACACGGCCCAUCUUCAUCAACACAAGCUCAAGACCCUCGCGAGGGGCCAAGCCUCGCGGGGCGGACGACCAGGAGGUUCCUCAGGCACGGCCUCAUCAGGCUAGCUCGCGAGGAGGCGGAGAGAUCAAGGCGGGGUACCUCGCGAGGUGCCCAUGACGCAAGCCAUGACGACCAAGGGGGCCAGUCGGGCGCCAGCCCGCGCAGUGUCCUCCUUUCCUCUUUGGUGCAAAGGGAGCAAGCGCAGGCGAGAGCAUCAAGCAAAGGCAUCCAUUUCGGUGCAACAAGACCAAGACCAGCCCAACGGCAGGGAGGAAGUCAUUGUGGAGCCCAAGCAGGCGUCACCACCAGAGCCUUUGACAGGCGAGGACCAACUUUAGUCAGGAUAAGUGUACCCGAUGUUCCCCUUCAAAAUGGCCAAUUGUUGGCGCCCUUCCCACUCAAUAUUUGGGGAGAGGCCCAGGGCCUUUGCCUAUAAAUAGGACUAGCCACCCCCAGGUAGAGAGAGCGAGCAGCUAGCAUCGAGCAUCGAGAAUCCACAAGAUAGACAUGAUCCUCACCAGAAAACCAGUAGAGAGAGCGACUGCACUCCUCCUAGAAGUUCAUCGCACCAGCCAAGAACAGACCCUCGCGAGGCUGUUCUUCCUUGUAUUGUUCAUCAACAGCCCAAGAGGCAAUCCACCACACCACACACUGGUGUAGGGUAUUACACCGCGAUGGUGGCCUGAACCAGUAUAAACUCUGUGUCUCUUGUGUUGUUCCUUCCGUAGUUUAGAUCCUAGCGAGUCGGCGAGGGGCAGGUAGGUAGAGGGCGAAAUCUCGCGCGCACCCCAGUGUUCGAACCUCAAGGGUCUGCCGAAACCCGAAAUCCGACAUGGUUAGUUGCACAGUAAUUCGUGGUACCUGUCUUCAGUUGCAGAUAUGUCAUUCAUGGGGGGGGGGUAGGAUGGUGUGAUGUGCCAGAUUCACCUCUUUUUUGAAGCAGCUUCUCCAUGGAUUUGUGCUAGAUCAAUGGAGAAGGGGGUUUACAUAUGCCUACAUAUAUGCAGUAGAAGAAAGGGAGAAGUGAAGAGGGGCAGAGGGGGCUUACCUACUUGAUGUUGCUGCCUGGUAUGGCUCUGACCACCCCGCUCUUAGAUCUUCUUUUUUGAAGCAGCUCCUUCUUCUACUUUGGGGCUCCCAUGGCGGCUGUGUAGGAGGAGGAAGAAGGGUUGGGGGCGAUUCUGUUGGAUCUCCUUCUGGCAUGCAGAAGAAGAAGAAGGCAGCGUGGGAGGGGCUGGGGCGUGGGGGCGAGCGGGCGUGGGGGCGAACUGGGGACAACUGGCCACGUGGGGGAGGGUGGUGGUGGUGGUGGGCGAUUCUGUUGAUGGCCGCUCGAUCGGUCAGUUUGGUGGCCGUUCGAUCGGUCGGUUUGGUGACCCCUUCCUUUUCUGUUCCGCGGGGGACAAGGGGUUACCCUUUUCGGCCGGCCGCUCGAUUGCAUUAGUGGGCAGCCGCCCGCCCACUAGACGCGUCCAAAAAAAUAUACGCACCACGCACACGCAGCCAGAUGCACGAGAGACCCCGACGCCCAGCCGCCCCGCAACCGCCUUCGCCUGCCUCGCCGGUUCGCUACCAUGGCCGGUCCCAGCCGACCAGCCACCCAAGAGGCUCCUCCGCUCAUGUUUCUCCGUGGCGCCCGCGGCUUGCCCGGCGCUCGGCACCAGCAGCGCCACCGCCCCUGGCUGCGACCCUGCCCUGCCCCGGCCGCUUGGCUCCCCUGCAAGCCGGCGGCAGCCGCCCAUUCCACACUCCGGUACUCGGAUAGGCCUGAUUUGUGGUACAAUUCCCCAAUUGCCCAUUUUUUAUUUAACCAUUUAGGGUUCACUAUUCGUUGUGUUGUGCACUGUCCAGUACUCCUACAAUACAUGAGCAUGAACGAACACACACAUAAUUUAACAUUUUAGCACAUCAUUUAUGUUCAAUUGUGUCAAUAUGAUUGAUGUGAAGUAAUUUUUAUUGCCAAAUUUAUUGAAGUAUAAAGAGGACUGGAGAUAUUUCAAAACUUUUUCACAUACAUGCUAUGAAGAACUGAAGAUGGUACAUUGAGCUGGAUGUUUUUUGAGGUAACAUAGUCUUCUUCCUUUCUUGACAUGAACAUUGUCCUUUUAAAUUCUCUAGGUAGAAGACUAUGUAGGCGUUGGAUGAGUGAUAGUCUUUCUAAGUUAAUAGAACCGGAUAGUCUUUUUAACUUAAAAAGGCUAUCCGACUAUGAAGAACAAUGAUGUACUAUGUAGGCUACUUUUAUGAAAAAUGAGACAUGAAUGAGAAUUUUAGUGUGUUUGCACUAUGUUGACACCGAUUUUGGCCAAAAGUAAAAUAUGGCGCAUAGAUAUUAUUCAAAUAAAAUCAUGUACAUAAAAUGAUAAAACAAAAAAAAAGUGAACCGCCGAAUACACGGAUAAAAAUACAAUGAUUAAAUAAAAGAUCCGAAAAUAAAAGAGAAGAAAAUGAGCCAUAUCGUCGUAUAAAUUAGAGGACAUAUGACUUUCAUACACAUACGCCAUCAUCAACGGCGAAAUUCCAAUGUUGACGCAAAUUUAAAGUUUCAUAGGCGACGCGAAUAUUGCCAAAAUGUUAUAUCAUAUUUGCGAGUUCUGUCACCGCUAAAAAAUAAAUAUUGGCACAAUAAUGUUCGCAUAAAAUAAUAUAAAAUGCGCGACAAUGUAUAAAAAAAAUGUUAAGCCAUCAUGAAUUAUCGGUGAAAAAAUGCUUCCCCAUGUCUUUAAGAUAAAUCUGACCAAGUGCAAUUAUAUGAAAUGGACACGUACAUGCAUGGGUGCAUGUAAUGCAUGUACGAGCUACGUGCAUGCAUGUGAUUAUAUUUUUUUUUUGAGGGGAAAAAAAAAUAUAAUUAGACGGCAAGAUUAAGAAAUAAUGAGUAAGUACCCAGCCCAUGGCCCAUAUAGCAACGUCCUCCCCUGUGGCAUGCAUGCAUGGGAGCUCCUAGUCAGCGCUGCAGGCGCCCGUUAACGAGCUGGCGCCUGCAGCGUUGCUGGCAUGGGCCGGCCCAACGCGCGUUUGCAGUGGGAAUUGUUCGCUUUUGAAGUAAAAAAGCAAUAAAACAUGAGGAUAGCUAGGGAUUCGAACUCUGGAUCGCUUUGUUGCGAGUGCACCACACUAACCACCAGAACAAACUAACUUUGUUGUCUUCUACAAGAAAACAGUCCUAGUUAACCUUUUCGUGCAGUAAAACGUUAAUAUAUACUCAAUAUAAAUUAUCCCAAAAAAGAAAACGUAAAUUCGAAAAAAAGUUCAUCAAAUUUUAAGCAAAGUUCAAAAAAUGAAAAAGCUUCAUCGAUUUUGAAGAAAAAGUACAUUGAAUUCGAAAAAAAUUCACCAAAUUCGAAGAAAAGUUCAUCGGAUUCGAAAAAAAGUUCAUCGAAUUCAAAAAAAAGUUCAUCGCAUUUAAAAAAAGUUCAUCAAAUUUGAAAAAAGUUCAUCAAAUUUUAAAAAAGUUCAUCGAAUUCAGAAAAAGUUCGCCAAAUUUGAAAAAAGUUCAUGUAAUCUGGAAAAAGUUCAUCGAAUUUGAAUAAAGUUCAUGUGAUCUGAAAAAGUAAAACGAUUUAAAAAAGCAUGACAUUCUUUUAAAAACUCACGCAUUAAAAUAGCAAAAAAAGAAAGAAAAAAAGGGAAAAACGAAUAAAACCAUCAAGAAUUCGUGAAGCAGAAAAAACAAAAUAAAAAGAAAGAGCGACUGAACUUAGCACACAACAAGCGCGAUGUCGUAGUGGUUGGAGCGCAGCCAUCGUAAGGAGUCCGGCGUGGGUUUUUUUCCGCAAAACUAAGUGGGCCGGCCCAGCUUGGACUGCUGCAGGCGCCCGUUUGCAAAUUGCACUGUAACGGGCGCGUGCAGCGCUAAAUAGGAAAACCCUGCAUGCAUGCAUUAAGCACUAAUUAGACCAAAGGCCCAUACGUGAGUCAAGGGAGGCAUGAAAGAAGAAAGGCCAUACAUGCAUGCAAUUAGAGCCUAGUUAUGUAAUCAAGAGAUAAGAGAAGGAUGUUACCACAGGCCUCCUGAGAGCUCAGUGAUUCUGGGCCGUUGGAUGCGAUUUCUGGAUGCGUUCUCGUCCGUUGGAUCAAGAUAUGGAUGAACCUGCGCCGUCGGAUCGGAAAAAACUACUGCUGAAAUGAACAGUAUCUCCCUGUAACGCCUCCCCCGCACGUUUUUUACCGCCUUUUUUCGUUCUUGGGUCGCUGGCGUGUGGGUCCGUUCGCGGGCGGGCCUACGUUGUCAGCGACCGCGGCUUGGUCCCGGCCCGGUCGCCCCGUCGCGCGCGUCGGCGGGGGAAAGAUCUCGUGCCACCGCACGUAAAAUCCUGCCCCCGCCGAGGGUGUUUCGGUCUUUUCGCUCCCGGGGGUCGUGCGUGGCGUGCGGUGGUUUGCUCGUCCGGCUAUGGGGUGGGGGAGGGCAGCGACCCACCCUUUCGUGCUCUCAUUCGUCCCUCUCGUCUCCCUCUUUCUGGAUCUCGUCCUCUCUCGUCGCCGGCGCUUCUCCUUCUCGAUUCGACGCCGUCCUUCAGGUGGUUUCCCACCCUACCCCGCGCUCGCCUCCCUACCCAGGCGCCGUCAUCUCCUUCGCCGCCGGGAGCUCGACCGGGAUGCCUGCUCACGCUCACGGAGGCCGAGGCGGCUGGGCUGCUCUGGUUUGCGCGGCCGCCUCGGCCUCGGACUGAGAGGGCGGGCGAACGACGGGAUGAUGGUGGAGGCAGCCGACCGACGGACGGACUCACCGCUCCUCGGGGCCAGCCCCUCCCCUCCCCCGCACCGGACCGUGCAUCGGCUUGGAGGCCCCUCGGGGCCGCCGCCGCUGCGGGAGCCGUCCGCGGCCGUGCGGGCUGGGGACCGAGCGGCGGGUUUCGAUUGAGGGCUUGGCCGGGCCGGCGCGGGAUCUGAUCUGAGCCGCCGUCCAUGGAUUUCUCGCAGCUUGGCUGCAUCUUGCUUAGGAUUUGGUACUACCUCCGUCCUGUCCUGGUUAGUGCUCCCCUGCAUACUCCCUCCCUCUCUCUCUCCCUCGGUGUGGACGCCCGCACCUGAACCCAAACCCUAACCCGAAUCAGGCGAGCGCUCGUUGCCGGAUCGCUGAACCAUCCUCCCGGUGGCCGCCGCGUCAGUUCCGCACCGCUACAGCGCCGCCAGCCGCCGCCGCUCCAUUGGCUUGGAUUUGGUUGCGGCGUGGGCUUGGAACCGUACGGUGUUUGUGGUCUGAUGCGUGUUCCGCGCUGGGAGGUUUGGUCGGCUGACGCCAGGUAUGAGCAGCUCCUGAGCCUGAUCGCUCCAUGCGUGCACGCAUGCAUGAAUGUGAUGUGUACUCCCUCUGUAAAGAAAUAUCAUGGUCAUGUUGCUUGGUGUGCAACCUCUUUCUCAUCAGAGAAAAUAGUGGCGGAGCUAUGAUGAAGAUUGUUGCUGAAAUAAUCAUUGUCUUGAGCAAUCAAGACACUGGUGCUGGUGGUGGUGGAUACUAAGCAUCUACAGCCGGACUUGCUGACUGACCCAUCAUUUCGGUGGCCGCCCUCUCAAUCCCGUCGCUAUGGUGCCGCCAGCCACCGACAUUCCAUUGCCUUGGAUCCGGUUGUGGCGUGGGCUGGGAACCGCACGGUCUUAUCUGAGAGGUGUGCUCCGAGCUGGAGGUUUGGUUGGUUGAGGCCAGGUAUGAGCAGCUCCUCAGACUGAUGGAUGGAUGGCCACCACGGAGGUGACAGCAGGUGAAGCGUGGACUCCUUCGGGUUGUUGUAGUCAGUGAGGCUGCGGCCAUCGUCCAGCUGCUUACCAGCAAAGAUAAGGCCCUGCUGGUCAGGGCGGAUGCCCUCCUUGUCCUUGAUCUUGGCCUUGACAUUGUCAAUGGUGUCAGAACUCUCAACCCGAGUGACGUAUGCAUGCAUGCAUGUGUGUACCAUGCUGCGGCCGAAAUCAGUGUUUUGACCCUUUUUGGAAAAGCUCAGCACAAAAUGAACCAUGUUGGAAUAAGAGACGAGUGGAUGCCGGAGGCUCCUCAGCGAUCGCGGUUCUCAGCCGUUGGAUCGGGCCGCUUGAUGCGUUUUCGUCCGUUGGAUCGACAUCUGGAGGAAUCUGCGCCGUCGGAUCGAAAUCGGAUCGAAAAAAUCUACUGCUGGCGCCUCCCCCCGCUCGUUUUUACUUCGUUUUUACCGUUCUGAAGUCGCUGACGUGUGGGUCCGUUCGCGGGUGGGCCUCCGUUGUCAGCGACCGUGGCUUGGUUCCGGUCCGGUCGCCCCGUCGCGCGCGUCGGCGGGGGAAAGAUCUCAUGCCACCGCAUGUAAAAUCCUGCCCCCGCCGAGGGUGUUUCGGUCUUUUCGCUCCCGGGGGUCGUGCGUGGCGUGCGGUGGUUUGCUCGUCCGGCUAUGGGGUGGGGGAGGGCAGCGACCCACCCUUUCGUCCUCUCAUUCGUCCCUCUCGUCUCCCUCUUUCUGGAUCUCGUUCUCUCUCGUCGCCGGCGCUUCUCCUUCUCGAUUCGACACCGUCCUUCGGGUGGUUUCCCACCCUACCUUUUGGGUGAACCAUGUUGGAAACUUAUCUGGGGCGAUGAUGAUAAAAUUUGGCUGACAUAAACUUUUCUUCGAUUAUUCGAGGAGCUAUGGGCAUAAAAAACCCACUCCCCCCUCUUUUCGAACCUUUUCAUUCUCACUGAAUAUUGACGGCUCUCUCUUGGAUGGUCAUUCUGUUGAGUGAUAACCAGAGGAGCUCGACUUCAUUGGUGGGGGUUGAUCUGGUGAAAGAAGAUGGUGGAGCUAGGUUGUAUGAUAUAUCAAAGGCGAAUCUGAGCCCUCUCAAAUCUCAAUGCAACUAAUAUUGUGCCUUCUACACAUUUAUUUAUUCUUAUCGCCUUUUGAUGUUUAGAAGUGAUGAAUUGUCACGGUUCUGGCAUUUGCUAUCUCAUUAGGAGCAGAUACACGCAAAUCACCUCUUGUGGUGUUUGGUUUGCCUUCUCGUGAUUUUGUUGUCCAUUGUGGGAGCCAGUUUGGUGCAUUCGGGCUUUUUCUUUUCUGUUCUUACUUUUCCUUGAAUGGUUGUGAUAAUUCUGCUGUCUCUUGGAUAGUUUUUGGGGUUACCUUAUUGGGGUCGGGGUCAGUUUGCUUGUUUCAUUUGCUAUUUGACUUUUGAUAAUCUCAUUCUUCUACUAUAUUCUUUAUCUACUUAUCAAUUUGUACUUUUGGUUACUCCUCACUUCUUUACUGGUUUCAACUUAAGGGUCAUAUAGGGUGUUUAGAUGUCAAGAUUAUGGUUUCUUUCAUGUCAUGUUCAUGAAUGGCUGUGAUGAUAUAGCUUCUCUGUGAGAGCUUCUAUCUAACACCUGAAUUGAUUCAGUUGGUGCUAAACUAGGAUGGUUUGUGUCAUAGCAAUUAACCAGUUUAACUGGGGCGAUGAUGAUAAAACAUGGCUGACAUAAACUUGUCUUCGAUUAUUCUGAGUAAAAAUGAUAGUUUCCUCAACAAAAUUUUAACUGAUCUUUCCCUUUUUGGGAAUUUGUGUUCUUGCUCACUAGCAUCCAUGUAAAAUCAUGUUCUGGUGGAUGCAAAGGACUGUUUUGCAAGUUAGUAUCAUUUUGUUGGUUUUGCAGUAUGUCAACCAGUUCUGUUGUUUUAGGAACAGUACUCCAGCCGUACUUAUUCUUGUCUUCCGUUCUUUUGUUUCUGUUCUUCCUUAUUCUUGAAAGGCUAUGAUAAUUCUGCUGUCCCUUGGAUAGUUUUUGAAACCAUUUUAUUUGGUGCUGGGUCAGUUUGCUUCUAUUUGACUUGACAAUUUCAUCCUUCUUUUCUAUUCUUUAUCUACUUAUCAGUUUGUACUUUUGGUUACUCUUUACUAAGUUAUUGGCUUCAACUUAAGGGUUGUAUAGGGCAAGUUCAGAUGUCAAGAUUACUGUUUCUUUCGUGUCAUGUUCAUGAAUGGCUGUGAUGAUAUAGCUUCCCCGUGAGAGCUUCUAUCAAACACCUGAAUUGAUUCAAUUGGUGCUAAACUAGGAUGGAUCGUGUCACAACAAGUAACCAGUUUAGCGGCUAAUUAUUACUCCCUCCGUUCACAAAUAUAAGAUGUUCAUGGUUAUUCUACCAGAAGUUCAGUUAUGGCGUCGAGAUGGGGUAUAUCUGAGCCAUUUACUUGUGCAUGUCCCAGUUUUUGUGUCCACCAGAUCAUGAUUUGCUCCUGAUAUAGUGAUUCUUUCUGCUUUCACCGAUUCUUGUGUGGUUUCUGGUCAUCUUUUGUUCUUUGAGAAUUGGCUUCUCUCUGUUACUCUUUUUGUGGGAUUGCGCCAAGUGUUGUUGAUGGCAAUGAUGAGCAAGGCUCAUUCAGAGGUGUACUGUGAUCAGAUACCAUCGCUUGUUUUUAUGGUAUGGGUUGGGGUUAGGGUUUUGUGUGACUAGGUGGAAGUGUGCAAAUCAGGACGGCUUGCUUUCGGUGAGCAACCAUUUGAAUGCUGAAAUGUCCACGGGUUUAAGGGCAUCUCCAACAUGGAUCACUAAACUUAUCGGAUACAGAGUGGCUAUAUGAUAGACGAGCCAACUCUGAGCCUCCCAUUUUUUUAAUUAAAUAUGACCUCUCUUUCUACAAUUUGUGGUUAUGUGCUUAUGUAUAUUUUUGAAUAUUAUUGGUUUGGUUCUUCUCAAUAUAUUAAUGAUUUAUAUAGCAGUAUUGGGAUCUCACUGUAGUAUAUGUUAUCAUCUACGACACUUAUGAGAUAGCUCAUAGCAAACAGGAUGUUGAGCUAUUUUAUGCUCAGAAUGCUUUGAAUUAGUAAAUGCAUCAAUAGGUUCUACUUUGUUUGAAUAAAAAACAAUCAUGUGUGCCGAGGGCCCGGGAAGCAAGCAGAGGGUUUCGCAUCUCUUGUUCAAACUAUGCUAUUAUUUGCAACUGUAUGUCCUUUGUUACUUGCAUGUUCUGUUUCUUUGCCCCAUUUAGUCGUUCCUGCAUUUUAUUCAUGGUUUUCUUCCUUUCAUACCUUUGUUGUCUUAUUGUAUAAAUUGUGCUACAUUGCUCUUUUUCAUUCAUGCAUUUGCUGCACUAUGGCACCUCAGCAAUAAGAUACAGUAUUACAUUUCGUCUUUGUUGUCUUCAAUAAGAUACUGUAUCUAUUUGGUUUUGAUUCUACCCAUUUAUUUUUGGUAUACAUGAUUUAUAGCAGUGUUGGGAUAUCGCUGAAAUAUAUGUUCUCAUCGACGACACGUAGAGUUAUGCUCAUAAAGAACUGGAUAUUGAGCUAUUUUACUCUUCCUGCACUAGCUGAUGCAUCAAUAGGCUCUACUUUGUUUCAAUUAAAAACAAUCCUGUGUGCCAAGGGCCCUUGGAAGAGGCAGAGGGCUUUGCAUCUUCGCUUAGCUUUCCCAUUGAGUCGUUGUGCAUUUUAUUCUGCGCAAGGUUUUCUUCUCUUAAUGUACAAAUUGUGCUACGUUUCUCGAGCAUCUGCAUCAGCAAAGAAUAUAUAUACGUACUAGAUUUUUGGUCUUUUAUGCCAUUAUAUAUUUAUUUAGUUUUGAAUCUGCCCUUUUAUUUUGCUACACGGUAUGUCCAUCUAAUCUGCAGCUCUCCCCCUAUUUCUAUUUUUGCCUCUUCUCUUCAUUGUAAAAAUUGUGCUACGUUCCCCUUUUUCAUUUUAUUUCCCUUGGACUCUAAAUACGUGCCCACAUCUGGGGAUUUCAGGUCGCCAUGGUCGCCGACCAGCUCCUUGAUCAGAACGCGAUGGCCGACGACGAGCUCCGUGAUCAGAUCACGCUGGCGCCCGAGAAACUCCCUGUUCCUAACCCAGCGCCUUCCGCCUGCUCCACCAACAACUGUCUGCGGGGGCUUGCACAGGUGAGCUGACACCCGUCACAUCCCCCCUCUGAUUUUACUAGAUGACUGACAAAAAAACUGAUUGGCAUAGCAUCUCGCGUCCGUCUCUGAAGAGAAACACAUGUCUCAUCUAGGGGCUGUGCAUACUCGGGCUCACCACGUUCAAUUUUAAACCUAUCUCAUUUACUGCAUCUACCACAUGUACUGAUUUGCUCUCCAGUAAAAAACAAACGUUCUUUAUCAUGUCCUGAGCUAUAUUAAAGCUGUGAUGUAUGAAAUUACAUACAGAGUUGUCCCAGAGCUUAAUUUUUUUUCUUACAAAUAACAAAUUCACACUGAUAAAAAAUUCCUGCAAAUUUCCUGAAAUUACAUAUAGGUUGACAUCGACUGGCAUUUGCCUUGCCCCCUGCCUUUACAAUAACACAUUCACUCCAUUCUUACUGUGUCAUGAUUUCUGAACCAGGUUUCGCCAUAUCAUCUUGGAUACUGUGUUUGAGAAAGUUGGCCUUCCAUCAGCUGCCUACUCUGCACCGAGCUCCUCUUCCAGUUCAGGCAACACCAUGGCUGAUGGAUCCUCCGCAAUGGCAACCUCGUUCGUGAACGUCCUGAUAGAUGAUGGGCUGCUGAUCAAGAACCUUCCUCCGGUUAAGUUGAAAGCUCUUAUUGUAUCGUUCUUCUCUUCAUUCCUCAAUUUCAUGGCUCAUGGCAUGCUAAUAUAAAAAGUUUACCUCCUGCACAAUCAAAGCUGUCUCCAAUCCACGUCACCAUCAGCAAGCAAUUCAUUCUUGAACGAGCAAUUGAAACAAUUGGUGGCACACUCCAUCCAUUCACUUUUACCGGUACAAGCAGCGAUGAUGUCGACGUCUCUCUCUCCAUUGACCUACCUCCCCACAGCAAAAGCAUGUCAAGCACAAGAAAGGAAUUCCAUGCCCCACACAUCGAAUCUACAUGUGUUGCUGCCCUCGCGUACCUACAGAAAACAGGUAUAGUCACAAUCGAUGAUGCAAACUUUGCAGAGCUGAAAAUAUGCAAAAGGGAACUUCAGGCUGAGGAGUUCUGGUCCUCGACUCUCUAUGAUAAGGCCAAUGCCCUGGGCAACCAGCUCUCUUUACUGACUGCCGCCAAGCAGAAACCCCAGCCUGAGGAUAAACAAGGAGCUGCUGUGUUGCCUCCUAACCAUCAUAAUACUCCACAGACCAGGCAGAAAGUGCUUUCCGAGGUAAACGACGGCACAAUACUUUUGUCCCUCUGUGUUAUCCUCCAGUGCUUAAUGCUCGUUUCCCUUAACCAUUGCUCAUCCACAGCAUGCCACUGGAAGGGAAACCACAUCAACCCCUGUCACAGAAACAAACAAUAGGUACUCUCCAUUACAUUGCCACACAACGCCGCUGCAAGUUCUUGCAUUCCUCUGUAUACCACCUUACCUCUCAUGUGAUGCUUUCUAUGUUGUGUGUUUCCUAUAUUAGAUAAGGGCUAUUGCUUGCUUAGACCAUAUUGAUUCUGAUUGGCCUAUUGUUCAAGUUCAAGAUAGUAGGGUUGAUGCUUGAGUACAUAAAUCAUUCAAUUACAUACAUCUCACAGUUUGUUUCUAUCAGGUUCGUGCGAGGUAGUCCCUAUGAAGUACAUCGACAAGCCGGAUGGAUUACGGCGCCUAUUAGUAUGCUUAGUGAUAAUGACUCCUUAGUUGACAAUGUUUAUUAUGUUCUUGCUCUUAUUACCUUCUCUUAUGUGUUCUCGCUUUUGGUAUUGAACCUGAUGUCAAAUGGCUAUCUUUUGUGGUCAUGUAAACGCACCAAGUUUGAUUCUGCCUUAUAAACCAAUGUUUAUCUUGUGCUCCAUCGUGCUUUAUUUUUUACCGCAAUUGAAUUUUUCUUUAAUUUAGUAUUACCCUGUAUAAGUGUAAAUGCUAUGCCUAAGUUCCUACUGACAUAGACAAAACGCUUGGACCGGCACCCUCGCGCCAAGGCGCGUUGCUGAUCUAGUUAGAUUUGAUGGGGCCAGGCCCAGCUGUGCUCCCGACGUCUCAAUUAAACAAGACCAAGUCUCCGAGAGUUCCUGUUCGGCGCCUUAUGCGCCCGAACAGGUCCCUGACGCCCACGCAGCGCCCUAUUGGGCCGGCCCGUGAACGUAUUGUGCCCGCGAACCUGUAGUAAAGAAACACCGGCAGAAAACAUGCCUACCCCAGGAUUCAAACUCAGGUCACUCGGCGACUAUGCCAGAUUCGCUAACCACUACAUCAAAUGCACAUUUUUGAUUGAUAUAAACCACCAAACUUAUAAGAACAAGUGCUGCUGCGCUAUUUAUUGCACAAUGCCCACCAUUGUUUGAAUUAUUUAGAAAAAAAUCGUGAAUUUAAAAACGUUCGUCAUUUUUUAAGAACAAUUCACAUACUUAAGAAAAAGCUUCAUCGAUUUUGAAAAAAGUUCAACCCUUUUCAAAAAUGUUCAUCGAAUUUGAAGAAAAGCUCAUCAAUUUAUAAAAAAAAUUCAUCGAGUUUGAAAAAAGUUCAUCAAACUUGAAAAAAGUUCAUCAAAUUUGAAGAAAAGUUCAUCGAUUUUAAAAAAAGUUCAUCGGGUUUGAAAAAGGUUCAUCAAAUUUGAAGAAAAUUUCAUAUCAAGUUCUCAAAAAAAUUCAUCAAAUUUGAAGAAAAGUUCAUCAAACUUGAAAAAAGUUCAUCAAAUUUGAAGAAAAGUUCAUCAAUUUUGAAAAAAGUUCAUAUCAAGUUUUCAGAAAAGCUCAUCAAAAUUGAAGAAAAGUUCAUCAAACUCAACAAACGUUCAUCAAAUUGAAGAAAAAAUCAUCAAUUUUGAAAAAGGAUCAUCAAAUUUGAUAAGAAGUUCGUCGAUUUUUAAGAAAUAGUCACGAAUUUUUUAGAAAAACAUCGAACCAGGAAGAAGAUUAAAGAAGAAAAGAAAAAAGAAAAGCAGACAAUAAUACUCCCUCUGUUCCAAAAUAGUUGUCGUCGGGGAUUAUCAGUUCAUUUUUUGUCACGUUACGAUAUUUCUCCCGUUUCCCCUUUUGCCCUCGCACUCGCUCUCUCCCCGACCGCACGCUCUCUCCCGGCCAACACUCUCUCCCCGACGACCACAAGGCGCCCGACGACCACUCGCUCCUCCCUGCCCAGAUCCCUUGUGCCGCCGGCCAGUCGCCGCCCUCUCCCUCUCGUCGGUGUCUUCCUCACCGCAGCCUUGCUCCUCACCACCCCUAAAACUAGCAACCCGUCUCCCCCUCGUCGGUCAAAGGUGAAAUUUUUACCAGCCGGGGUGCUCGAUCUGUGGGCGGCGGUGCUCGAUCCGUGUUGGAGCAGCGGGAGGAGGAGGGCAGUGCUGGAUUGGAGCAGCGGUGCUGGACCGGAGCAGCGGGAAUAGGGGGGGUGGUGCCGGCCGCUCUUACUUUGUGUAGUCCUCUUCACUCUCGUCAUGUCGUUGCCACCGCCGAGGAAGACGGAGAGCCUGUCGGAGGGAUGAGCGCCAUGGCCAGUUCUGACCUCCUCCGUCCAGAUCCAGCUCCAGGUCAGUUCACUACUCUUCCUCUCUCCAUGAAUUUUUUUGGGGCAGAGCCGAUUUGGCCAGCCUCCAGCUGCGAAUUUCUACUGAAUCGCCUGCCGUUUGUGGGUAAUUCCAGCAAUCAUCCCCUCUUGCUGCUUGCUAUCUCAAUUUCAAGACUGAAGAAGAGAACAUGGGGAGCAGCAGCUGCCCUCUGCUCUGCUCUUAUGCGAAUGCUCUACUGCAGGACCGUGGCAGCGAUGCUCGCCAAAGCGGACGACAACCACUCCCGUGCAAACAAAGGUACAGACUGGUCCUGGUGGGUGAUGAGGGCGCUCUGGCCUCUGUAGUUACAUGAGACAACAGUUCUUUGUGCAAAUGUUGACUGAAUUUGCCUCUGACUCGUCUCUGCACUUGACUGAAUUCGCCUCUUUGUGCAAUGUUGCUGCUACAGGUGAGCAUUCAGGAAAAGAACACUUGGCUGAACUUCAGGAAAAAGAUGCACUGAAUCUUAGUAAGCGGAUACUCAUAGUCGAAUUCUUUUGGAUGCACAUAUAGUUUGUAUCACAACUUAAAUAAUGACAGUAAAUAAACUCUCAAUUGCACUGUCCAGUAAUUGAAAAUAAAUUACACCUUUUCAGUUAAUCUAAAUUAACUGAAACCUUUUGUACUCCCAUGAUCAGUGUUAACACCGAAUUUGUAAGUGCAAGUAGUGCUUGUUUUCAGGAGUAGGAUGCUGAUCAAUAGUGCUUGUUUGGAGUAAUUGUUUGCUCUGUAGUGCAUUUUUGCUGCAGCCUAAUCUGUGGAGUAUCAAGCUAAUUGGAAGAAAGCCAAUUGCUUGCUCUGUAGAAACUUUUAUGUGCUCGAGUAUAGGAUUUGCUGUUUAGCAAGGCUUUGAGUAAUUCUACUCACUUCUCUUCUCUUCAGUAAAUUAAAUUUAGGAGUAGGAGUAGUUCUUAGAACUACUAUGCACCUUAAAACUACUCCUGUUAAUUAACUGAAACUACUCUGCACCUUAGAACUACUCCUGUUAAUUAACUGAAAAUACUUUUUUAAGUUAAUUAACUUAAUUUCUUUCUGUUAGGAGUAGGAGUAGUUCUUGGAGUAGGAAGAGGAGCAGUGCGAAGAAUUCUCUUCUCUUCUCUUACUCUUCUCUUCUCUACUCUCGCUCUCUUCUCUUCACUUCUCUUUCUCUUCUCUUUUCAGUAGUCUGCUCCAAAAUUCUGCAAUGAGGCCCGUGUUUCCACUGCUAUAUAUUUUCUGAAUCACAUUUUCAGUUUUGCAAAUUCUGCAAUUUUGCACAUGAAGCUUCUGUAAUUUUGCCCAUGAAGCUUCAGAUUUUAGCACAUGAAGCUUCUGCUACUGUUAAUCUUGUCAUGAAUCUUCUGUUGACUUGGUACAUUAGCUUAAAAUGAAUCUUUUCCUUUAAGUAAAACUAAAUGAAACUUUUUUUUAAUUUAACAGUUGCAGACUUGCAGUAGUAUAGCACUUGCAGUAGUGUAGGACAUCAGUAGUUUAGUGUAGGACAGCAAUAGUUUGGUGUAAGUUUCAGUUCAUUAACUGAAUUUUUUCAGUUACUUAACUAAAACUUUUUCAGUUACAACAGGACUUCUCUUCUCUCUUCUUCUCUCUUCUCUUUCUCUUCUUGCAUCUGUAGUUUAGUGUACUUCCCUUGUGCCCUCCAUACUCCUCUCCUCUCCCACUCAUUUCCUCUCCUACUACUUUGCUUGUUCUCUUCUUCUCUAAAUUAUCUUCUCAUCUCUAAAUUCACUCAUCUUGUCUCCUACUACUCUCUUCUCUUCUCUUUCAUUUAAAUGGAGUACUCCACACAAGCAAAUGAAUUACACAUACAAGUCUCACAAAAUGGAGAAAAAAUAUAUGGAGUAAAAAUGAUCACAAAAUGAAGUUACACAUACAAGCCUCACAAAAUGGAGUAUUACACAUAUGGAGUAAUUUCACAUGGGAUGCACUCCGCACAAGUCUCAUCUCAAGGAACUACACAUACUCCACAUCUGAACAAGCCUCAUGUCAAGCAUCGGAACAAGCCUCAUCUCAAGCAUCUGAACAAGCUCAUCUCAAGCAUCUGAACAAGCCUCAUGUCAAGAAUCGGAACAAGCCUCAUCUCAAGCAUCUGAACAAGCCUCAUGUCAAGCAUCGGAACAAGCCUCAUCUCAAGCAUCUGAACAAGCCUCAUGUCAAGCAUCGGAACAAGUCUCAUCUCAAGCAUUCGAACAAGCCUCAUCUCAAGCAUCCGAACAAGCCUCAUCACUGAACCCUCCCCAUUACCUCUAAGUUGUAUAGGGCAUUCGUGUAAACCUCUUUCGGGCAUGUUAGUCUUGGAGGUAGCUACCCAAGACCCUCAAGCCUUUCCUUGUUAACAUGUGGUAUUUUAUACCCAUUUCCCUCCGCAUGGUUCAUGAUCUCAAUCAUGCACAUUUGUAGAGUUAGGAAAAUUCUGUUGAGCUUGUAAACAUCAUAGCCUUCAAAUUCCUCCCAAACACCUGCAAUAAGGUCUUGUAGUGUUUUAGGACUCAGACAAUCUGUCAGCGAUUGCAGCGAGUUGAAAAACCCAAGGUCAAGCACAUUCAAAUCAGGACUGUUGGCAGGCUGUUGUACUAAUCUAAUGUCAAGUCUAGUUUUUGCGACAGCUGCUAGAAAUUCCUGGUCAUCUGGCAAGAUAUGGGGCUUAGCAUUAUCCUGCUGAAUGUAGAUGGUCUGUCCAGCAUCACUUUCCGGCCAAACUGCUUGUAUCGCUGGCAAGACUUUCUCUAUCAGGAACUCCCUCAUCACUUUUCUAUCGACCUUUAUUGACUUUGUCUCUAUUGUACCUCUGGGCCUGUUGUCGCUUCUCCUCUGAGCAGGAACUUCUUUCACGAAUGGCCAGAUACCGAUUUUCCUAGAGAAGGUCACGUUCCUUCGCUGUCCCACCUUGGCCUAGCAACGGCCGUUAAAAACAUCACCUUGCCAAUACAGUUGCCGUGUAUAGGCCUCGUAGGCUCUUCCUCCCCAUCCAGCAGAUAAUAUGUUCUAUUCUUCUUUGUCAUGUUAAACCACUUCUCGUCAAUAUGGACAACGUUAUGCAGUCUUGAACUUAGGCCUCGCAGUUGUUGUUGUUGCCUCAUCAAAAAUCGACAAACAAAAAUUCAUCCUAUCCAUCUUAUUCUUUUCCUUUAAAGCCGGCUUCACACAGUUUGUAUGCCUCCUAAUCAAAUUUAGCAUGAACUUUCUAUGAAGUGUAGUAGGCUACAUCCCAGUUGACAGGCUAGUGAUCUAAUAGUAGACCUCCUGUUUAAUGGGAUUGUUAGGAUUUUUUCUAGGUUAAUGUCCUUAGGCUUUCUUCCAGAAUUUCCUUUUCUCUGAUCGGCAACAUCUACCUCUUGACCUUGUUGAAUUUGCAACAUUGCUUUCCUCCAAAUUCUUUGUAUAUUCCAAACACCCACUCCAAAAUUUUUUGCAAUAUCUUGCUUAUCAGUUUUCUUAAAAGUGCCUCCUCUACUCAUACACAGUGUAUGCAAUGCUACAUAAGCAUCAAUUUUUUGCUGAUCAUUGAGGGUUUUAUUUUUUCUACCAACUUGCCCAGCACCCGCACCAAGACAUACAACAAAGAAAUGAUUAAAUGAAAUGAUCAAGUGAUGAAGUGAUGGAAUGAUCAAGUGAUGAAAUGAUGGAAUGAUCAAGUGUAACUGUACCUGGAUUUUGAACAAUUUCGUCUCCUUCCAUUCCCUCUCCAUCAUCUCCUUCCAUAUCAUCUCCUACAUGUCCUUCCAUUUCAUUUUCUGCAUUUUCAUCCAUUUCACCCACAUCUUCUGCAGGUGGAGUGAAGUUGAGGUCUGGGAGAUCCAUUUUCUCCUGAAGAUAUGAAUAUGUAAGAUGAAGUAGAAGUAGAAGUAGAAGUAGAAGUAGAAGUACAAGAAGAAGAAGAAGAAGUACAUAUAAAUUCAGUCUGUGUACUGUCAAUUGUUGUAUGUUUACUGUCAAAGCAAGAAUUAGUCAAUUGCUGUCUGUUUACUGUCAAAGCAAGAAUGACAAUAUUGUUAUGGUCAAUUGUUGUCCGUUUACUGUCAAAGCAAGAAUUAGUUUCCUAGGUUAAUGAAACAUUACCAGCCAUAAUUAGUUUUCUGUAUCUUAAUUAUCUCUGAACAUUUUUGCCUGAAAACUGAAUGUACAAUGUUUCUGUAGAUAAUUUGGUCGAAAAGGGACGACAUGCUGAGGUGUACAACAUUCAGUUUCUCUUUCGACAUGCUGAGCUCUAUAAGUGCUCACAUUCUUUGUAUGGAUCUUAUUGAAUGAGUACUUGUUAACAUUGGUACCAUUUUCUUCAGAUUUUCGUUGGUGGUCUUCUGAUUGAUUUGGAAGGAAGAAUUGUUGGUAUGAAUUUCAUAGACGAGAAUAAAACUCCCUUUUUGCCCGUCCAGAUUGUUGGGAGAUGCCUGAAACACUUCAGAAAUUUGGGUAUGUUUUUCUUUUCCUUUGCUCCUGAAGCUAUUCUGUACUUAGGCCUGAAGCUAUAAAAUUUUGUUUCCUUGGCAAAAAAUUCAGUUUACAAAAAUACUGUAAAUGACAUCAGUAGAGAUUAGUUGAAGAGAUUACUGCUUUAAAUGACAUCAGUAGAGAUUAGUUGGUGUAGUACUACCUGAAGUGACAUUACUUAGUGUAGUACUGCUUGGAGUAGCCUGCUUGCAGUACUUCUUUUCAUGGAGCUGCUUGCAGUAGUUUAUGAUUUGCAGUCAGAUUAGCUUGGAGCGGUAGCAUUGCUUGCUCUGCUAUUCUCUUCUCUUCUUUUAUUUUAAUUAAAAUUAACUCAACCUUUUCCUUUAGUAAAAUUAGCCGGAACUUUCCCAGUUAAUUAAAAUAACUGAAACUGUUCCUUUAAUGCUUGCAUAAACUUUUUUAUACUCUAAUGAAGGUUUUGUGUACUCUACUGCUUGCAUCAGUACUUUUAAAAAUAAAUGAAUCUUUUCUCUCUUCUCUUCUCUUUGUCAAGAAUGUACUUACUCAAGAAUUACCACCACUUAGACCAAAGGACCAGUUGGUAUUAAUUUCAGAGAUAGAUGUAAUUUCAGUUAAAUUCAGUUAUGCACACAAAAUUCAGUUAAUAGCUUAAUGUUUUGGACUGAUGAUGUUGUUGGAAUUUGUACUACUGAAAAUUAAAAAAAUGUACUCCUUUAAUUAACAUUGAUUCAUUGAGAUGGUGGUAUGAUCAAAUUAAGAAAAUUCAGUACCUUUUCUGUUACUGUAGAGUACUUAAAAAUUAGGAGUAGCUAGGAGCAAAAUUAAAAUUAGGAUUAGGAUGGUGGUAUGAUUGCUGCUAUUCUUAACAUCAUUGGCUGGCUUGCCAUCUCCUUCGCAAAAGUAUGACAAUAGUGCAUUUUCCAAAGGCUUAGUUUCACCACUUGCUGUUGCUGCUUCUGAACCUGUCGCGCUUGUCGGCGUUUGUUUUACAGGACACUUCUUUCCUGUAUAUGUGACGAUUGCUUGAAGGAUUUGGUGUUGGUGUCAUAUCCUACACGGUUAGUAUAAGAAAUCUUUCUGCCUGCUUUUUUUUGCAUUAAGUAUGUCUAUCUAGUUAAGUUAUUAAGCAACCAAGAACAUCCUAGCCGAAGUUGCAUGACCCAAUACUAACACCAGAAGUGAUCUCAUAGAUGUAGAGCCACACUUAGUGCCAGAACUAACAUUGUUUUCUUGAGUUCUUAAUCAUGAUCUGGAGUACUAGCAUGGAGUAAUUUGUUUGCAAGAGUACAAUUGCAAGCAUGAGUACACUGAAUUUCUUGUAGCAGAUGGAGCACAUAAAAAUGGAGUAGCUCACCUACCGUUGAUCUGCUAAUUUGCCAAUUUUCUGCUCCUUGCUGCUCCUUGCUGAUCCUUGCUGCUCCUUGCUGAUCCUUGCUUCUACUGUUGAUCUGCUAGUUUUGACAGGUGAACAGAUGGACAGUGGCUGCUCCUUGCUGAUCAAUUCAAAAUUGCUCUGGCUAUCAAUUCAAGCUUGCUAUGAUUGGUGAGAAGACGUCCUGGUCAAUCACCACAUCUGAUCAAUUUCUGUCUGUGGCGAGAAGAAGUGGUACAACUCCGGCGAUCAAUUUCUUUGGCGAUUAACAAUUUUGAUCAAUUCAAACAGCAACACAUGCAGUGCUAGUGCUGCUGUUGGUCAGUGCGGGGAGUAGCACGGGCGGAGGUCAAUUGGCCGGAUCCGGAGCUCCAGUGCCUGAAUCGAGGAGCUGGAAGGCUGAGGCAGGAGGAGGAGCACAGGCUGCACUGCUGCUGCUGUUGGUCAGUGCGGGGAGGAGCACGGACGGAGGUCAAUUGGCCGGAUCCGGAGCUCCAGUGCCUGAAUCAAGGAGCUGGAAGGCUCAGGCAGGAGGAGGAGGAGCACGGGCGGCGCUGUUGCUGGUCGGUGCGGGGAGGAGCAUGGGCGGCGCGAAGGCCAGUAGUCGCGGGGGGCGCGACGGCCAGGAGUCGCGGGCGGCUGGAGGCUGUGGCGGACGGCGAGGGAGCUGCGUACGAGUUUGGGCUCUUGAUUGGAGCGGAGGAAGGCGGCCGACGAGGGAGCUGCGACCGGCGCGGACGGACGCCGGAGCUGCAGCAGUGGGAUGGAGCCUGGCGGAGGGGAGGAGCGAUGGAGUAAGACGAAGAUCCCCGGCGACAAGAAUUUCAAAUUGAGGGUAGUUUGGUAUUUUAUCCUGUUUUCACCUGGUCGGAAAAGUUCCCCAACGACAACUAUUUCGGAACAGAGGGAGUAGAAGGGAAAGAUGUUAGUAGUCACGUGAGAAUUGGUGGCGGGAUGGUAAGUAGGAGCUAAUUUAAGGCGGCAGGUCCUG
rnacentral:lncRNA from 1 species